rnacentral:lncRNA from 1 species
UUUGUGUGUGCCCACAUGCUAGUGUUAAUUAAUAAUAACACUGGUAAGGAAAAUAAAACUCAAGCAUUAAAGCAAAUGAUAUCCAAUGACAAAUAAAAAAGAGCGUGCAAAAGAAGAAAAAAAGUGCAUAAAUCAUUCUCCUGCUAGAAAAUGUUAUAGAAAUGAAAAACGAUUCAUAAAGAAUCAUUCUCAAAUAAUCCAAAUUACAUAAUCAACUUGCCUGAUGAAUUUUAUUGCGGAACUAUUUGAUAAUCGAACUUGAUCGUCUGCCCAAGUUUCUCAAAUCUUGGUCGGGGAGAAUGUCCCAUUAUUUGGAGGUUUAAGUGUCCUACAUAUGGUCCCUUUCAUGCCACCUAGCUAGGUUCUUUCUUUUAACCUUACUAAUAAUAAUAAUAGAGUAGUUGAAUAUUCUAAUUGAAGAUAAAUGAAGAACAGUUUCCAAGGUAAUUUAUAUUGAUGUUCUGUGUCACACGUAUAUGCGUAACAACAUAAUAACUAAGCUGCAAGUGUACAAAAGGAAUUCAAACUAUAUAUGUAUUUUUUUCUUAGUAUCUUUAAUAAAAGUUGUAUGAAUACAAUGAACGACAAUAAUAGUAGAACAUGCCAAUUCUAAGAUGCAACCUUGAAAAAGAGAUACAACUAAUCUUAAGAAGCUACUGCAUGUAUGUAACAAUAAAUUAUUGUUCUAUGCAAUUUUAGCGAAAUAUUUUAUUUCAUAUUUUAUUUGUAACAAUAUUUGUGGACUUAUUGAUAACUAUUAUUAUGACAUAUCUUGACCCGUAAUGUUCAACUGGACAUCCCAAUCGAGUUGUGUUGACCGACACCUUAAAGGUGACAAAGCCUUACAGUGAUGGUGAUGUAAAAAGUGUGAAUAACUAGUACAAGAAUGCGCAUGGGAGUGAACUCGACCUUCCACAUCACCAUUACUUUAUGACUUUGUCACCUUUUAAGUAUCGGCCAACAUAACUCAGUUUAGGUGUCCAAGUGAACAUUAAGAAUCAGAGUGUAUCUUAUUAAAUAGAGACAAGUUUUUUAAGAUGGGACAUAAAAAACUUACUAUGAUGUGGAGAUUAUUCUUAUAUAAAUAAAUGACCCAAAUUGAAUUCAGAAAUUUUAUAAACUACAUUGAAGUUAUUUCUUCAUGGAAUAUCACUAUAAAGAGGUUGUACUGCAAAAUUUCGUGCGAAUUUUAUUUGGCUUGAAAAAUAACGAAAAAACCGCCGCUUAUUUUUAGAUUGAUGAUCACUUUGCUAUGCUUAGCCAAUUAAGUAUUUUAAAAUUACUGACAUAUACCAUAAUGAAAACAAAAACAAAGCUUCUUGGAAAAAUCCAAAAUUUUGGUGGACAUAGACAUGUGAUGCGCACGCUUUAUAACCAUAUUUUUCAUCUAAUCAUGAGAUACCAAAUCUUAAAUGGAAUUCUGCAUAAUAAAUUUUGAAGGUAGAUAGAAGCCCUAAUCUAUAUGUCAAUCUUAAAUGAAUUGACAUAGAAAUAUUGUGCUGCCAAUUUGACAUAUGAGAAAUCUUUUUUUUUUUUAAAUGUUUUGUUGUGUGGGUUUUAGGCCUGGUUUGGUACUGAGGUGAUUCUAAAAAAAGCUGGGAGCUUAUUUGUAUUUGGUAAACAUUCAACUUCAGCUUUUUUUCACAGUUUUUGGUGAAAAAAAAGCCAAAAACAAGAAGCUGCAAAACCCAGGUUUGAAAAAUCGGUUUUUUUUUUCACAUCUGUUUUACAUAAAAGUUUACCAAACUCUAUAAUACUGCUUUUUAUUUUCAAAAGCAUUUUUACAAAAAAAGUUUACCAAACACUCUACAGCUUUAUUUCACAGUCACUUAUUCUCACAGCACAGCAGAAAUAGUUUUUUUUCAAAGCACAUCAAUACUAGACCAUCCCUUAGUAAUGCAUCAAUCAUAAAUCAGAAAAAUUAGUUUCGAUUGAUUUAUUUUGAAGAGUGAAUUAUACAAAUAUUAUUUCAAUAAAUAAAUAAAUGAAAUUAUUUUUGCUCAGCACUAUCAAGUGGUGGUGACGCUCACCACCUUAUUAACUACCGUUAGAUGAUUUUGAUUUAAACUAUCUACUACACAAAUUUUGAGAUUUACACUCAUCCAACGGUAGUUAAUAAGGUGGUGAACAUCACCACUACUUAAAGGUAGUGAGCAAAAAUGCACUCAACAGAUGGAUUGGAGCAAAAGGAAGUAUAACAUUGCCACACAUAAGCCAUCAAAUUUACAUCUGACACUUUUGUUGGUCCAAUUAAUCACGGUACAUAUACACACACACAUAUAUAUAAUACAAUUCAAGGCCUGGGAAUAUGUUAUAAGUUGAUUAAAGCUUGCUCUCUGUUUUCCACUUUCCUUCCAUGUUCAAAUGCACCAUUUCUGCCCUCCUCCUCCAUUUUAUAUGCAAUAGUAAGCCAAAUGCCACGGCCUAGGAGCUCAUCUAGUAUCUAGCUGAAAAAGUGACGGACAAUCCAGCAAGCUGCAGCUUAAUUUGGGGCUUUGAAAUUAAAUACAAGGUUUGUUUUCGUAAUGAUAUCUCUUUUUUUUUUAAACAAAAUUUUGGGCGCACUUUAAAAUUAACUACUAGUGUUAAAAUACAGGUUUGGAAACUCUACUUUGUAACAAGGAAAAAACAUUAAUACCGUACAAGAUGGGAUUAAGUAGUAAAAAUUGGGUUUUGAAGUGCUUGAUUUUUGUUAAUUAUUCUUUUGUUUUUUUAGGAGUUUUUGUUUAAUAUAAAACAUGCAUAUCGGACCCCAUUAGACAAAGCCGUCUCUGAAACCGGACCGUGGUUGUACUUUUAUAUGAUUUUUUUUGCUGUGUCCCUUCGGAUAAACAUGUGCCUACCUGGUACUGAAUCUCGAGCAAUUAUAAAUGGUGGUGAUGCUCAUGACCUUCUGAUUCCAAAGCAUCAUGGAGCUGGAGAUGAUAAUAAAGAAGAAUUGACAAUGAGAGCUCUAGGCGUGGAAGGCGGCGGCACCACCACCACAAUCACUACCACUACUACUACUUUCAUACAGAGCUUUCUGCAACGCCUCCACCACCUUACCACAAAUGGCGUACUUGUCCCAAAUCUGCCACUUACUGAGGUAUGCAGCCUACAACCUCUCAUUCACUCUACUUCUCGCUCUCACAUACUUGAAGUUCCGUCUCACAUAAUGUGAAAAUUUGUGAAUAAUAUAUGACAUCACCGGCCAUUAGUUUUGGGCUCAAUGGUAAAAAAAAUUCAGGCAUUAAAGCAGAUAAUUCACUAGUUAAGUCUAACAGUCACACGUGUUUUACAUCAUUUCAGUAGUGUACAUAUACUAUUAUGGUUGUUGUUUAGAAUUCUAAAUGUUGAAGCUUAAGCUUUCUUGUUCAAGACUUCAAGUCAUGUUUUUUAUUCUUUUAAGUGCAAUCUAAACUGCUUGAUGUAAUUUUUUUGGAGACACAAUUCUGAGAUUGGCUAACGGACCUUAUUUCUUGCCUCUAGAGCAUAAGUUUGAGGAGCUAAUUUACUCCCACAAUUUACACACACAUAUGUCGCACCAAGUCUCCACACUCACACGAGUGAAAGGUCUAAUUACAAUAAGAAAUAUUUUAGUCUGACAGUCAUAUAAUUACCUGAAGUUUUGAAUUCAUGCGUUACAAUAUAGUUUAACGGUAAAGCUAAUAUAUUCUAAACAUAUAACGUAUUAUUAAUAAAUAAAGGGAAGUGUUAUUGGCACUCCAAAAAUCUCAUUCUAAACUCAUCACAAAUGCAUUUUUCUUUCCUAAUAUAGAAAUUUUAGAAUGUAGAAUGAGAAUUUUGGAGUGCUAAUAACAAUUCCCUAAAUAAAUACAUAUUAUAACAUAUAGAGAAUGGUAAUACCACGUAAAAGUUUGUGAUCAGGGUAUUAAACUUCCCAAUUAAAACCCACAAUGUUGUCUAGUGACACGUAAGCUGCCCAAUGAAGAAAUAAUUGAGAACCACAUACUUCCCUAAUCAUAAUAGCAUGUUCAGGUUUUGGUUAGUAAUUUAUGUUUUGGCCCAUUUUUUAUAUUCACUCACAUGAUAUAAUGUCAAGUAGACUAAUUUUUAGACUACAUUUGUAAACUAUCUGAUAUGUCAUUAAUAGAAAAUAAGCAAGUUAAUCAUGACUUAAAUAAUAAUCCAUAUAUGAGGUGAUUUGAUCAACACUUAAGUAAACUAUUUGAUGUUUCACCAACACAUGUAUAACAGAGUCUAUAGUUUGUAAAUAAUUAAACCAUAUUAAACAUCGAUUUUAAAUAAGAUAAUAGUAAAGUAUACUACUUAUAGGUGAUAACCUAAAUUACUCUGCACUCAACAGAAUCAUUUUAUGGCAGAUUUUUUUUUUUGCCUGACAAUGAGUCAGCAAUAAUGUGGUCCAAAUUCAACUUUAGCGAUAAUUAAAUCUAAAACAUCUUACUUAGAAAUAAAAAGGAAUAAUAAGACCGUAAUACUAAGGGACUAUUUUUAUGGCAGCUUUAGAUUCUUUUGAUGUUCGUUGACAAAUAUUUUUUAUUGGUUACAUGUUUAAGAGAGCCGAUGCCCUGAAGUUUUGUUACCUCAGGUGCAAACAAAUUCAUUUUAAGUGACUUAAUAUUUCUAUUUUCCACGUGUUAUAUCUUUUAAGUAAUUUCUCUCUAAAAUUUCUUCCUUUCAACAAAUAUUUAAGCUUUCGCAUGUGUUUGGAGAAGCUAAUUUUGUUACUCAUGCGUUUUUAGUCUGGAUCAUUCUCAGUUAUGUGAGAAAGUUUUGAUCCAUCCUUUGCCUAGUGUUGGUUUUCUGGUUUUCCACCUCCACAGUAAUUUAUUUGAGGUUGUAGUGGGGGCUUCUUGUAAUUUUCCUUUCCAGAAAAAGUAAAUUCCAUUUUCUAAUUACUUUGUGUUCCUUUUGUGAAUCCAUGUAGAUAGCAGAAGAGUUGAGAUCGUUCCUAAAGAUUGCAGGCCCUAUAGUGAUGACAAGCAUGCUUAUAUACUCAAGAUCUGCGGUUUCAAUGCUAUUCUUAGGCCGUCUAGGGAAAACAGAAUUGGCUGGAGGCUCAUUGGCUAUAGGGUUUUCUAAUAUUACAGGCAACUCACUCCUCAGAGGUUUAGCAACGGGGAUGGACCCCAUUUGUAGCCAAGCUUAUGGAGCUCAAAGAUGGUCAGUUAUGAGUCAAACUUUUCAGAAAACCCUUUGCCUCCUCCUCCUUGUUUCCAUCCCUAUCGCACUCUUGUGGCUCAACAUGGAGCCUAUCUUUAUAUGGUUAGGGCAGGACCCACAAAUCACUAGGGUUGCAAAACGUUACAUGUUUUUUGCCAUUCCUGAAUUGCUAGGGCAAGCCCAGCUUAUGCCAUUGAGAAUCCUUUUCAGAACACAAGGGUUAACCACCGCACUAACCCUAGCAGCCGCAUUUUCAGCCCUCUUUCAUUUACCAAUGAACUAUUUUUUGGUCAUAUAUUUGGAUUUUGGGGUUGCAGGUAUUGCAUUGGGGCUUGCUUGGAACACUUUUCUUUUUAAUUUGGGUUUGGUAAUUUAUCUAGCCAUCUCACCUCAUGCUUUGAAGCCAUGGCAUGGGCUCACCAUGCUCUCAGCCUUUCAAGGAUGGGGGCCAUUGCUAAGAUUGUCUCUACCCAGUUGUGUUUCAAUUUGCUUGGAGUGGUGGUGGUAUGAAAUUAUGUUGUUCAUCUGUGGCUGGUUGAGUAACCCACAAGCAAGUGUUGCAGCAAUGGGAAUUUUGUUGCAAACAACAGGAAUGUUAUACAUUAUCCCAAUUUCUCUAAAUUCAUCCAUAGCGACGCGUGUUGGACUAUCCCUGGGCGCAGGGCAACCAAUCCGUGCACAAUGGGCCGCCGUAAUUGGGCUUAGCGUGGCAUUUGCUUUUGGGAUCUUUGCAUUCAUUCUCAUGACUGCUUUGAGGUCCAUGUGGGGGACAAUGUUCACAAACGAUCCACAAAUUCUUGAUUUGAUUUCAACCACACUUCCGCUUUUGGGUUUGUGUGAAGUAGGCAACGUUCCUCAAACGGCUGCCUGUGGAGUGUUAACAGCUACUGCAAGACCUAAGCUUGGAGUAAAAAUAAACUUGGUGGCAUUUUACCUAAUUGGACUGCCAGUCGCUAUUCUUGCAACUUUUACGUUUAAAAUAGGGUUUUUGGGGCUGUGGAUUGGGUUGUUAUCAUCACAGUUGUGUUGUUUAGGUAUGAUGGUGUACACAUUGAUCCAUACUGAUUGGAGACACCAAACAAUAAGGGCUGAGCAGUUGAGUCAGGCUGUGGAAGUGAAAAACCAGACUGAAGAGAACUUAGAGACGACAGAGGAUGAAGAACGUGGGCUGCUAACUCCCACUGAACUCUAAGUUUUACAAAUGUUUCAGGGAUAAUUUUCAUAGGGAAUUCAGUACAAAUUAAUCAUUUGGUCAGAAAUCACAACGUUUUUGUUUAGUUUUCUUUUUGGUGUUUACAACAUUGGAAAGAAAAAAGAAAAAUCAACUUACUUGGUCCCUAAUCACGAAAUUGAAUGUUAAUACAUCAUUUUUUUCUUCAUAGCUCCUUUAGAUUGGUCUUUAUUCAGAUUUCAGAGUUAAAGAGGAGAAUUAUAUGAAGAAAAUUAAGAAAUAUAAAUGUAAGACGAAACAAAUGCCUUUCAUUUGCACAGACAUGAUAUGUGGGCUUCUCUUGCCAUAUGAAAAAACUUGAAAGACUAUAACAAUGCCAGGCUAACUGAGCAUAUAUAGGGCACUUCAUGCAACUGGUGCAGGUUUUGGAACAAAAAGUGGGUUUUGCAGACAAACUGAAAACUCAUGAUUUUGCCCUAAUAUCCGGAUUGAAAAUUCCAUCCUAGUCAAUCAUGUAGCCUAAAACCAAUAUAUAAACCAUAUGGGCCGACUCAUAUAAUACCUUAUCUAUUAUCUAAACUACAUAUUAAUAUAACUCCCUUUGUCAACAAAAAACCAAUAAAAUUACAGUUAUACCCCUUUAAUACAUAAUUGAAAAAAUAUUAAAAAAAAAAGAAAAAAAAAGUGGGCAUUAAAGUAAUUUCACACAAACAAGUUUUUGCUUUUUUUUUUUUAACCUCACUGCCAUGUCAUCCUAUCACUACCCUCUAAACCCACUAUAUCCUUUUCUCUGUUGCAGUUUGAUGUUAAGGAUGCUUUCCUUCAUGGUGAUCUUAAGGAGGAAGUUUAUAUGGAUCUCCCACCUGGUAUCAGAACAUCUCCUGGAAAAGGUGUUGUAUGUAGGUUACGAAAGGCUUUGUAUGGAUUGAAACAAUCUCCUAGAGCGUGGUUUGGGAGGUUUACAAGUUCAAUGAAGAAGUUUGGGUAUAUCCAGAGUCAUUCAGAUCAUACUUUGUUUCUAAAGCGACAAAAUGGUAAGCUAACUGCAUUGAUUAUUUAUGUUGAUGACAUGAUAGUGACUGGUGAUGAUCAGAAGGAGAUACAACACCUUAAAGAGUACCUAGCUAUUGAAUUUGAGAUGAAAGAAUUGGGUGAAUUGAAGUAUUUUCUUGGAAUUGAGGUUGCACGAUCCAAGCAUGGUAUUUUUCUGUCUCAAUGGAAGUAUGUUCUUGAUUUGUUAGCUGAAACAGGUAUGUUAGAUUGCAAACAUGUUGAUACUUCGAUUGAGCAGAAUCAUCGUCUGGGCUUAUUUCCAGAUCAAGUUUCUACUCAUAAGGAAUGGUAUCAGAGGCUUAUGGGGAGAUUAAUUUAGUUGUCUCACACUCGCCCUGACAUUGCUUAUGCAGUUAGUGUGGUAAGUCAGUUUAUGCACUCACCUAGUGAAGCUCAUAUGGAUGUAGUAAUCCGUAUUUUGAUGUACUUGAAGAUGGCUCCUGGCAGAGGCUUGGUUUUCUCCAAGAAUGGUCAUUUGAAUGUCGAAGGGUAUACAGAUGCAGAUUGGGCAGGUUCUAUCACUGAUCGACGAUCUACAUCUGGAUACUUUACGUUUGUGGGUGGUAAUUUAGUUACUUGGAAAAGCAAGAAACAAAAAGUGGUGGCUAGGUCAAGUGCAAAAGCUAAGUUUCGUGGUAUGUCUUAUGGUGUAUGUGAGUUGUUGUGGUUGAAAAAAUUGUUGAGAGAUCUUGGGUUUAAACCCAAGGGUGCUAUGAUACUUCAUUGUGAUAACAAGGCUGAUGUUGAGAUUGCAUAAUCCAGUGCAACAUGAUCGAACAAAACAUGUGGAGAUUGAUCUACAUUUCAUUAAGGAAAAAUUGGAUGCUAGAAUUAUUAUGUUUCCAUUUGUGGGAUCUGAAGAUCAACUUGUUGAUGUUCUUACUAAGGCUGAGUCUAAUAGUGUGUUUUCCAACUCGCUUGACAAGUUGGGUAUGCGUGAUAUCUUUGCACCAACUUGAGGGGGAGUGUUGCGAGUUAUAUAUUAGUUAAAGUGUAAAUAGUAGUUUAUUGUCCCACAUUGGUGAAGUACAUAUGUAAUACCAAUUGUAACUCCUAUAUAUACUCCACUUUGGAGAUUAAUGAAUAUAUAAGAAAUUCUCAAAUAUUGUCAUAUAUAUUUUUAAUAUUUACCAUGUUUAGUUUAAUAGUAUGCAGAAUCCUAAUUCUUCAUUCUUCAUUUUCAAAAAAAAAAAAUUGACUAUUUUGUGAUAAACCAAUUUGAGGUUGAAACUCAUAAAUCAUUCAAUAGGAAUCACAAGGGUUUCAUCGGUCAGGGGUUUGAGAGAGGAGGUAUUUUUGUGGAGGGUUGGGCAUGAAGUAAUCAGACGUAUUUUCACUAAUGGAUAGUUUUUUGGCUUUUUCUUUUUAAACCCAUUUAGUGUAUGGGGUAUAACAUAAAUUUCAAAACAAAAAAUUUUAAUUUGAAUUUAUAAAGAGAAAUGUUGGAUCCGAAUAAAAUUUCUCUGAGGGUAUUAAUCAUAUGCAACUAAGGUGGACUAGCAUUACCUAUUGCAUGAGGUUAAUACCUUCAAUGGAAACCCAUCAAAUUCAGAUUGAAAAUAUAUGCCUGUCUUUCAGAUUGGAAAGAUGGACUGGCGUUGCUCGUGGCCUUCAAAUUGUAUUACGUUGACCCAUGCACUGCCCAUUUUAUUGUCCUUUCCAACUUUCGACUAAUUUCCAAAUUAAGAAAACGAAAGGUAUUUGAAAGACAUUUUAACUCAAAUAUAAAGUACCGACAUUAUACUACUGACACAAAACGCUACAGAAAUAAUAUAUUCAUACCAUAAAAUUUGCUCCUCCUCAAAUAUUACCAAGCAAUCAAAUAUUAUUUCAAUAAUUCACAUCAUAAAAUUAUAAUAAAUAUUAAUAGAAACUAGAAAUAUGAAAUUAACAUGAGUUUUAUAUAAACUCUGCCCAAAAUGAUAUCGUUUUGUGUUUGGGCUUUUUUAAAAAAAAAUUCAAACGCCCAGGUGGUGCCUUGACAAUGCCUCAGUCGCUCCUCCCAAAGCCUAGGCAAGUCAACAGCCCACUCCUGCUGGGUAGAGGAGUUUUCUUGAUAUCAUCGCACAAAAUACCGUCUAGGCUAGUCUUAUUGUAUACUAGUUUUUUAAAACAUUGGUCGAACUUUUAGUGUUUUAUGGAAUAAUAUGAUUCGUCUAAUUUUUGGAUAACUAUUAGAUGACUACAUAAUUUUGGAUUUAGUUAAUUUUUGACAAAGUUGAUCUUUAAAGGACAACCUAAAAAAUAGACGCUUUUGAUCACCGUAUGCAAAAUUGUAGUAUUGCAAAGAGAGCCAAAAAGAAAGAAGGAGAACGUUAAAAUUCAAAGGGUGCUAGCAUUCCUCGUUCGCAAAACUUUAAUUGGAUGUAGUAUUAAUCUUCACUUCAUCUAUCUUUCCAAUGUGUCUUAGGGGAAGCGCCUAUGUUCCAUUGGAUUGGGAAUACGAAUUUUCACCGGAAGAUAUAUAACUCCGUUUUACUCGUCAUCAUCAUCACUGGAUAUUCAAGAAACGAAAGUCAAUGGUUUGAGGGAAGACACUACAUGCAAAUUAGAAAUUUAGAAGAGAAAAGAAGUCAUCGUUCAAUAGUUUCUCCAUAACCCAGCACUUCUACAUACCCCUAUCUGGGGCAGCCAAGGAAAUGAAUAUCAGCCAAACGAUCUGGAAGAAAAGGUGUCGGAAGUUGGGAAUUCCUCGUUGGCCCUAUCGCAAGUUGGCCAGCCUUCAAGCCCUAGCAAGAAACAUUCUUGCAUGUCUCUAACUCCACCCUAUAAGUAAUUCUUUAAUACACGUACAACUUUGUUCCCAUUCAUGCAUUUGUUUUUACUUUUUACCAUGCAUGUGGAUGUGGAUCAAUCUUUUUCGGCAUGGUUGUACGUUGAAAUAAUGAGAUUGUGUAUGUGGAUUCAGGGCUGAUCCAGGAUCAGUGCGGGCAGGCCGACCGUUCGAGGCCCAAAAAAAUUGGGGGCACCAAAAUUAUUAGGGUGAUAUAUUUAUAUAUAUAUUUUAUAAGAAUAUAAAUUUAUAAAAUUUGGUUUAGUGACAAAGAAAUUUAACUAAAACUUGUGGUUUUGUUGUUUAAAAUUAAUGAGGAGGUCUUAGGUUCAAAACACCAUGUGUGGUUAUUUACAUUCCAAUUUUUACAAAUUUCUUUUCAUAACAGUAUAAAUUUAUAAAAUUUGGCUAAAUGAUCAAGAAAUUACAAGCAAUGGUUUUUGUUGUUCAAAAUUAACGAGAAGUCCUAAGUUCGAAAUGCUAUGUGCAUGUUUAUUUUUUUCAAUUUUUACAAAUUUUUGUUUGGUUGUUAAUUUAUUCACUAGCUAGUAGCUAUGUGGUUGCUAUUUUUAAACAUCCGUUCCAAUUCAAGUCUAAUCUUCAACAAAGAGUAAUGCAUAGACUAAAUUUUUAGACCAAUUUGCAAAUAAUAUUACAUGUCAUCAAAAGUUUAAUUUAGUGUUCAUUCAUUACUUAUACAUAUCCUUAAAGACUCAAAAACAUUAUUAUUUUUUUAGUCUUAUAUUGACGAGGUUAGUAAAUAAGAAAAAAUACCUCACGAUUCACACAAAAACACUUUAAAAGUUCAUAUGGUAAACAAAACUCAUAAUUUAUCUACUUGUAAGCCUCUCUUGAUACAAAAUAAAUUAGUUAUUCCAUGUUUCUAAAUUAUUGAGUUUGAAGUGUUUUUUUAAAUAUAAUUUUAUCCAUAUCUUACAUGUGAAAACAAAUAAUUUUUUAUAUGAAAUGAGGUCACUUUUUUUGGCAUCGCCCUGGGCCUAAAAAAUGUCACAGCCCGUUCCGGGAUUUUAUAUAUCGGGGACGUAAAAUGACGAAAUUACCCUCGACGGGUAUUAAGGAAGUGUGUGUGUGAUCCAUCACAACCCCUCACCAUCCAUUUCUUUUUCCUAACUCCCUAACCACAUAAAUUACAAACCAACAUUUUAAUCCCACUUAAUAAUUUUAUAAAAACUUAUGAAUAAAUGUAUUUAGUCCAAAAGAUGUGUCACACAUGUGACACAUCUUUUGGACUAAAUACCACAUCUUUUGGACUAAAUACAUUUAUUCAUAAGUUUUUAUAAAAUUAUUAAGUGGGAUUAAAAUGUUGGUUUGUAAUUUAUGUGGUUAGGGAGUUAGGAAAACGAAAUGGAUGGUGAGGGGUUGUGAUGGACCACACACACACUUCCUUAAUACCCGUCAAGGGUAAUUUCGUCAUUUUACGUCCCCGAUAUAUAAAAUCCUGGAACGAGCUGUGACAAAAAAUCUCUGAACCAGCCCUGUGUGGAUUAUGCAGGAGUUAGGAGAUGAUCAGCCGAUUGAGAGGUGGAAUUGUUGGAGAGGGAAAGGCAGCUGAUGGAGAAUUUCCGAAAUGGCAACUCGAAUAUAACACAAAGACGCUGAGAGGCGCUUGCUAUAAAGCCAAGUACAAGAAAAUGUCCAUUCCAGCUAAUUAGGUCUUAUUCAGACACAAAACAUUCACCCUUACCUCUCCAAACCCAAAGAAACCCAUCUUCUUCAUCCCCUCACCAACCACCCAGCCACGCCACUUGCACCUCUCCUACCACCCACAAUCAAAGACCCAAAUUCCAUCCCACCAUAACAUAGAAACAAUACUUCAACACCAUAAUGACAAAUCAAUUAAGAGAUACCAUCUAAUUAAGUCAAUUUUUUUUGGGUAAAUUACAUAGUAACCCAUCAAGUUUGAGGUUAUUACAACCUUAUACAACAUCUUUAAAACAUUUCACUUUCAUACCUCAAGUACUAUUUUAUUUCAAAAUAAUACAUCCGUUAGAUUUUUCAUCCAUUGAUCCGUUAAAAGCUGACGUGGCUGCCACAUUUGUGCCACGUCGCUGCCAAAUUAAUGCCACGUGGCAAAAAAAUAAUUUUUAUUACCCAAUUGAAAAAAAAAAAAACCUUGAAAACCCAAAACCCCAUCCCUGCAACCCCCCAACCCGAGCCUCCCCUUUUCCUUGCAACCCAAUCCCACAAAUUCUACCUCCCAAAAAUCAUUCCCUUCACCAUCUUCAUCCCCACUCCCAAUCCCAACACCACCGAACUGCUCACCUUCCACUUCAUCUGUCCUUCCUCCUUCACCCUCCUCACAGCCUCCUCCAUCCACCCGCCACCGACACCCCUGCCCCAGCAAGUUCCAAUCUUUAAGGUCCUAAGCCGCCGUUCCAGCAUUCGGUUCAACCAAUCAAGUCGUUCGAACCGCUGAGGAGGAAGGCACCGGCGGUGGUGGCCCUUCGAAGUUGUGUGGAUUUUGGAUCUGGGGAUUUUGGGGUUCGAGAAAGAGAGUGAGGAGAGUGGGAGGAGGGUCAAACCGCUGAGGAGGAAGGCGAUGGCGGUGGUGACCCGGCGGAGUUAUGUGGGUUUUGGAUCUGGGGGGUUUGGGGUUUGAGAGAGAGAGUGGGAGGAGGGUCGGGGGAAUGGGUUUCUGGGUUUUUGGUUUUCAAUUUUUUUUUUUUAAAUGGGUUUUUGGAUUUGGAUUUGCUGAGUUUUGUAUCAAGUCAUGACACGUGGAAUUGUAGGGAUUUGCAAUGUUUGGUCCAUGGCGAGGAAGGGAUGAAGGGUGCAGGGAGGGAGGAAGUGGCGUGGAGAGAGAGAGAUGAAAGGUGCAAGGAGGGAGGGAGGGAGGGAGGGAAGCACGGGAUGAAAUUAUGGGUUUUCAAUAUUUUUUUUUUUGUUCAAUAGGGUAAUAAAAAAAUAUUAUUUUUUCCACGUGGCACACAUUUGGCAUCCAUGUGGCACAAAUGUGCAGCCACGUCAGCACUUAACGGAUCAAUGGAUGGAAAAUCUAAUAGAUGUAUUAUUUUGAAAUAAAAUAGUACGUGAGGUAUGAAAGUGAAAUGUUUUAAAGAUGUUGUAUGAGAUUGUAAUAGACCUCAAACUUAAGGGGUUACUAUGUAAUUUACCCAUUUUUUUUUAUCUCAAUCAUUAAAAACUAAUUCAGUGAGUAUGUGUGCAGAAUCCUAGUACUUCAUUCUUCUUUUUCAUAAAAAUUCACCUAUUUUGUGAUAAACCAAUUUGAGGUUGAAACUCAUAAAAUCAAGAACAAGUUAAAAGAUUCAACAAAAGGAAAAUAAUUAAAAGAAAACGGUUUUGAAAAUCAAUUUAAAAAGACACUAGGGUUCUGCCAUCAUCUUAACAAUCUUACGUUGUUUUCCCAGUUACUUAUGAAUUAUACAUGCAUAUUUUGAAGGUUAGGUUUUCCUAAAGUAUGCUCUACUUGGGCCCCCAAUCUAGAACGUAUAUCAAAGCAAUCCAUCUAUGAAUUCAGAUCAAUCUAAACAUGCAAAACUCAUCAAAACUUUAUGAAAACCCUUUGAAAAACCAUGCAACCCUUAAGACUUGGUAUUCAUCCUAAAUGAAAUUACAAUUAUUAACCACAAGAAGCCUUUGUCAAUAUCAGGGACCAACUUUCAACCAAAUUACGCUAUGUAGUAUGUUCCUUUUAUGUUUAAUGAGAUCUAUCGUUUCCAUAAAAAAUAAGUACUAGAAAAUUUUGACUUCCAGCUAAUUAGGUCUUAUUGAUAACUGAAUUAAUCAAAGAUUAGGAAUGGCAUUCGGACCCAAACUUUCUCUUUCUAAAUCUAACUUGUAACUUUUUACUUUGAAAUCUUUGUUUUAUCCCACAUACAAAAUGGGUUUAGAAAGAACAAGAAGAAAACGAAAAAGAAACCCAGCCAAGGUUACCUCCGACAUCCACCCCUACCUCUCCAAACACAUAGACACCCAAUGUUCUUCACCCCUCACCAACCACCCAGCCACGCCACUUGCAUCUCUCCUACCACCCACAAUCUAAGACCCAAAUCUCAUCCCACCAUAAUAUAGAAGCAAUACUUCAACGCUAUAAUAAUAAAUCGAUUAAGAGAGAAGGUAUUUUUGUGGAGGGGUGGGGAUGAAGUAAUCAGACGUAUUUUCACUAUGGAUAGUUUUUGGCUUUUUCUUUUUAAACCCAUUUAGUGCAUGGGGUAUUACAUAAAUUUCAAAACAAAAAAUUAUAAUUUGAAUUUAUAAAGAGAAAUGUCGGAUCCGAAUAAAAUUUCUCUGAAGGUAUUAAUCAUAUGCAACUAAGGUGGAUUAGCAUUACCUAUUGCAUGAGGUUAAUACCUUCAAUGGAAACCCAUCAAAUUCAGAUUGAAAAUACAUGCCUGUCUUUCAGAUUGGAAAGAUGGACUGGCGUUGCUCAUGGCCUUCAAAUUGUAUUACUUUGACCCAUGCACUGCCCAUUUUAUUAUCUUUCCAACUUUCGACUAAUUUCCAAAUUAAGAAAAUAAAAGGUGUUUGAAAGACGUUUUAACUCAAAUAUAAAGUACCAACAUUAUACUACUGACACAAAACGCUACAUAAAUAAUAUAUUCAUACCAUAAAAUUUGCUCCUCCUCAAAAGCCCUAAUAAUUUUCAAUGGACUCCAUAUUCAUCAAUGUUUAGAAGCUAGUAUGGGAGGAUAUAAAUCUGCCAGACACACCACCUCUGUAGUUGUAUUGUAGAUGACAUGGCAUAUGUAUCACACCGACGUGGGUCCAAAAUAUGAACAGAUUGAUGCAACGUAAGAUAGCUACCCAUAUGUGACGUGGAAUAGGGUUUCAGUGGCCCGGCAAUGUCGAUAUUUUAUUUUGUCUAGUUGGCUAAUAAACAACGGUCACGUUGAUCACAUCAGAAUUAGGUAUCCACUGCAUCAAAGAUUGGAUAUCCCUAGGAUCCCCACAAAAUGGAUCCGGAGAUGAUCAUUUUCCAUGAGAAUGAAUGGGAGAGGAUGAUGUGUUCAUUCAAAAAGUGUAGGAUAUGUUUAGGUGAUGAAUUUUCACAUUUUAGGUUGCUUUAGGUUGCGUGUUAGAAAUGUCUUUGUGAGUCUUCCUGACCCUCGAAAUGGAUGAAUAAUCAUAGUUUGCCAACCGUUAUCCUCAUUUUUUAAAAAGGAAAAAGUAAAGUGUUGUUUUUUUUUUCUUAUCAAAUUAUGAUUUUUCAAGAAUAUGAAACUAAAAGCCAAAUUUUAAGAGCUCAAUAUAGUAGUUUCACUUUUUGAUUUUCAAUUUUUUAAUAUUUUUUUAAUUAAGACAGUGUUAUGAAAGGCUGUUGAUUUCUUUGUUGAUACUUUUUUUUUAAAUUAAGUCGUUACUAAAAAAUUACCAAACUAAAAGUAGUUACCAGUACAAUAAGAAUAUCAACAAUUGUUUAUUUUAAACAAAAAAAGUAGUUGCCAAACUAGGAACCAAAUCUUUUCUGAUCCAAAAAAUUUGAGUUUAAAUAUCAAAUUAUUUGGACCAUUAAAAUUUGAUCAAACGGUUACAAAUAGAAUUUUUUUAUAAAAAUUAUAAUAAUUAUAGCCGUUAGAUCAAAUUUCAAUUACUGAAUCAUUUGAUUUUUUAGUUUGGUUACUUUAAGUUCAAAGGAGAUUUGGUUCCGCCAAAUUCGUCUUCAAUACAACAAGAAAAAAAAUAUAUUUUUAAAUAGUUUUAACGUGUCUGGACCACUGACAUGUUUUUCUCGACAUUAAAAGAAAAAACAAACCAGAAUUAAAAAGUCAACAAUAUUUGGUAGUCAAUAAAUAAUACGGACACUUUGGUUUAUCUAGCACAGAUGAGGUUUUGGAUUUAGGACCAGGAUCCUUUCCUGAGCUAAGGAUGAGGAUCCUCCUCAUCAAGGGAUGUGAACCGUUUGAUGAAAAUUUAACGGUUACAAUUAUUAUAAUUUUAAAAGGACCUCCUGUUUGUAACCGUUGGAUUAAAAUCCAACGGUCCACACUCAUUGAUGAGGAGGAUCAUCAUCCUUAGCUCAGGAGAGGAUCCUGAUCCUUGGAUUUAACUAGUAUCAACGUGAAAUCUGAAGGGAUCUUCAUUUUUUUAAAUGAGAAUAAUUGUGGGGAUCAUUCUACGUUAACCUUCAACGAUUUAAUUGUUUAUUUUUUAAGUUAGAUUUCAUGGAUCAUUCUUGAAAUAUUAGUCAAAUUGAAAAUGUUUAAGGCAUCUAAUUGAGUUAAAAAAUUUGACAAACACUAUGUUAUAAAAACAUUGAAAUUUCAUCAUGAGAAUCAAAUGAGUAAAUAGUUUCGAACCAAUUUUAGUUUUUGUAAGGAUAAUCUAUGAAUGAAGACUUAAAAAUAGACAAUUUGGAUUUGUUGGGGAGUAGGCCUCACAACUAGUCCCUAUUUACCGUUUGGUACGUGAGACGAGAUGAAACGGAGUGGGACGAGGCGUUCCGUCCCAAGUUUGGUACGAGUGGAACGUGCUGUUUCACGGAACGAAUUUUUGGUGAAUUUUCGUUCCGUUUCACCCCCUUGGAACGACUCAUUCCACAUCCAUGGAAUACAAAAUUAUAACAUCUCUGUCUCCUUCUUCCUCCUUGUUUCCAUCCGAUAACAUCUUUGCUCUCUCUCUCUCUAUUCCGUCCCGUCCUGUCUCGUCCCGUCUGCAUACCAAACGAUACCAUAAAGAUCCCUUUGGAUAAACAGCAUGUAUAUGUCUAUACUAGAGGCGGUUAAGUGAAGGGGUCAUUUUUUGUUUUUUUGAACAUGAGAAUUAGUUGUGCAGUUCACACCAUAUUGAACUUAAACAAUUUGAACUAUCUAUGUUUUAAGUUGCACAUUUUAGAUCAUUUUUUGUAAAUUAUUAGUUAAAUAAAAAAUAUUUAAACCAUUAAUUCAAAGAAAUUGACGAACAUAUUAACGAUCCAGCUUCUUGGCUCCAAUGCUUUGGACGCAGGGAUUCAGAAUGAAUUUCAUUCCUGCACGGAUAAUCUGAGUGUAAGAAACUCCACACUUGUUCCAAUCAGAUGGGGAUGGGACUUGUGGGGACCCCUAUCCACUCAUGUCACUGACACGUCAAACUUAAAAGAAGAAAAAUCACACCCAGUGGGCCCACCCUCUGAAGCCGACUCACUCAACUGGUCCCAACCCUACCCAUCUCUCGGUCUUCACAAAGGGCCCAAACUCUCUGGCCCAUGCGACCAUACCAAAAUCCUCACGUGUCCCGCGUCGCUCUCACGUGUCAUGAAUUAAUUGGAAAGGCACUACUCAAUUUAUUUAUAUUAUUAUUUCAUGUUCAUGGUGUAUUACAGGCCACUAGCAUUUGGGCACGUGCAAGUUUCAAAAUUAAGAUAUUUCUCCCAGGCUCCAAAAUCAACGCACCUAGCCUUCUAGGCGCAAAACAUUGAAAAGUCCUCUUCGGUACGAAGUUCCCAUACCAUCAUGGGCCUGAUGACAGAUAACGAUUUUCUCAUCUCUUAAUUUUUCUCUUUUUUUUUUUUUUUGUUCUUUUUAUUUAAACGGUUAAUAUCGUGUAUCAAUCUUUUUAUAAAAAAAAUGGAUAAAGAAGAAAAAUAUGAGAGAAAAAAUGAAAGGGGAUUAGAAUAUAAAGGAAGAGAUUCUACUGUUGUGAUGGCGGUGGUACAAAUUGGGACCAAAAGAUAUGUCAAAAAUUUUACCUUUCUUUUUCUGACCCAUGUUUAUGGCAUGGUUAUUUUGGGAAUUUUACUUGAAAACCAAACCCGUAAGGAUAUGCUAAGGUAGUCGACAUUGAUGCAUUAAGAAUUGAAAUUCGAAUUUGAGUGCAAGAAAAUAAUGCGCACUAUCUUAUCCUUAUUUUAUGGAUCUAUUUGAACGAUCAUUACGUUCAAGUUCAAAACUAGUUGUUUUACUACUUUAAGCUACAUUGAGGGGAGAGGGAGCAUUUGAACCUAGGGAGCCAUGACAGAAUGAGUUGAAAAUGAAGAACUUAUUCACCAAGACAAUAAAACUCCCGAUGUUUACGAUUUGUUUAAUCAUUAAUUUUACCACCAAGGCUACCCGCAAGUUCAUAUCGCCUGCAAUGACUGGUAUCAUUUCAUCGACCAAAUUUUUGUCUAUUUCAUUGUACCUCGUUGAUACAAUCUUUGAUGUAAUAUAAUUGUUGUAUCUAAAUUUUUUUAAAUCGGUAACAAGUUUAGAGUGCACAAUAAAUUUUUUAGAGUGUCAAUAACAACACCAUUGCUACAUAUAAUAUUUUGUAAAUCCAUAAAAAUCGAAUAAUAGUUUCAAAUAUUGAUGUAAGCGCGAGGAAUAUAUGAGAAUUGGUUUUUCAUUCCUUUAGCUUUGAAUAAGUUUUAGUCCACCAUAUCAUAUUGUAUUAUAUUCACUUGAAUAGGUGAAUUAGGUGAACCAAGUAAUUCUAAACACAAGUAAAUUCCAUCUAACAACUACAAAAACAAGACUUUGGAAACAAACUCAAGUGUCAAGAAGCAUCACAAUCCCUAAUGGCCAAUGGCCGCCCUCUCCUUAUCAAGGUGUAAAGAUUGACAUAUAAAAUCAAAAUAGACACAUUUUGUUUUUGGGUCAAUAAAAUAUACAUAUUUGAGUUCAUACAAAUUUGAAGAAAUAUUAUGAUAAAUAAUACUCACACUUACUUCAUAAGAAAAUUCAAAGUUGUCUUUUUCAUUCAUUUAUUAAAUAUUAUGAUAAAUAGAUUUUAAAAAAAGCAAUGGAUAAAAAAGAUGGAAGAGGAUCCUCUCCGGAUCCACUUUGUGGGAAUCCUAGGGAUCCCCAUAUCUUAGCUGUUCAUCGUACAUCGUGCGGCUAAUUUUCGUCAGGUACUAUUUGUAUUUAAUUUUAAAUAAAAAGAAAACAAAUGAUUUCUGACCGUACGAUGCACGAUGAAUGACUAAUAUGUGAGAAUCCCUAAGAUCCCCACAAUUUGGAUCUGGAUGGAUGGGAUCCAAAUCCAAAAGAUAAUUGUCCUAACUCCCAACUUCUUUUCAAUUUUUUAUACAACUAAUACCAAGGGAGUGGAGCCACUAGUAGUAUAUCUACUAGUGUGAAUAAGUCAGAUUCUCGUUGAUAGUGUGUUCGAUAUUAAACAAUUAUGUUGAUCUAUUAUGUGACUUUACACAACUCUUCACGCAUAAAUAUUUUUAAUUAUUUUAAUUGUAACCCCUUGUAGCUUUCAUUAUAAUUCUUUUUUAACAGAGUGAUAUUUUAUUACUCUACUUUACAAAAAUGAGAAUUUGAACACGAAUAGUCUCAAAUACUGUAAAUCGACUGACCUAACUCUCAUGAAUAGGACGUAUCAACUUCCAAGCCAAGCGCAAGCUGAGCCGAGUCGAACAAGAUGCCUUUGUCACAACAUGACUUCCCCAUCUAAGCAUCCUCUCGACUAGGCUAGCAAUUUCUUAGGCGAACCAUUAAUCCGACAAGAAACAACACGAAAAAUAGCAUAUUCCGAGUUAACUCUUUAACGAGUCAGACCGUUAUUGGGUUAGCCGUUAAGAAUCUAUUAAUGAGUUAAAUCGUUGUUAGAUCACCGAUUAAAAUAACGAUUAUGACACACUUUAGUAAAAUAAUGAGUAUAACACGAAAACAACAUAAAGAGCACAAACACAUCCGUUUGACAGGUCUACUCUCGACCAUGAACGUCCAAAUCGCAGAUGCCACGCCCGCAACGAGCAAACCUUUCUUGUAUGCUCUCCACGUGUCCCGUACGCAUUCGCCACAUCACUUUCCUCUUUUUUCUCUCACCUCUAAUGUUUUGAACUUUAAACCCUCGUCGGAACACUCUCGGAAUUUUUAUCUCUCAUCGGAGCUCUCCUCCUCAGUGGGUAGAGAGAGAAAACGCCACGAUUUCUAGAGAGAGAAAGGAAAGCGAAGUUCGGAAAACAGAGAUUAGACUAUCUCUCUCGUGCUUUCUAGGGUUAGGUUUUUUCCUUUUUCGUGUCGAAGUUCAAAGAGAAAAAGAAGCUCCGAGCUAAAAAUUAGACGUUAAAGGUCGCGAUUCUUUGCUUUAUUACUGAUAUUUAAAUUGGAAUUAUCUUUUUCUCGGAUGAAUUUUCUCGGGAAAAUUUAGCGUCGACUGUAAGUUGCUUUUUGCCCAUUUAUCUGGUUUUUCUAUGCUGUAAAAUUCCUUUUAUAAACCGACGAGUCUUCCACCUCAAGCAAAGUUGUUCUUACAAGUUUGAAUUUUAGAUAAAUUUUGGUUGGAAAAACAAAAAAUUGACUGCUUUUUUCUUGGUAGCAAUUUCCCCUUGUUUUUUCUUUCCUUUUUGUGAUAUAAAUUCGUGGAGUUCUGGUAGUAGUGGGAGUAGAAUCUGCUCUGAAUGUUUAGUUUGGAUAAGAAAGUUUCAAUCUUUGGAGAAAUUGGGUUUUUUUGUGAUGUUGGUUUUGUGGAAAUUGGAGAAAAUGUUGAGUUAAACUUGAUGAAGGGUCGGAAAAUUGAUUUGGGAUGAUGUGGAUUUUGUGAUUAAGGUGGAAAAGAUGGUUGGAAUGGGGAAUUCUGGAAUUGUCUGAGGGUUGCAGCAUGAGUUGCAGCGUGAGGAGCGGCGGAAGAGAAGAAAGGGAGCGCGAGCAAGCGGUUUUGAGGAAGUCUGUGGAUGUCGAGCCCAACUCGGGCUCGCAGAAUGGUUUGAUUGCUGCCCAGCAGCUGACAAUUGACGAGAAUUUGCUGGUGGACCCGAAAUUGUUGUUUAUCGGGGCGAAAAUUGGUGAGGGAGCACAUGGCAAGGUUUAUGAAGGAAGGUCAGUCUCAAUUCCUUUUCAGUCAACUCUUAUGCUCUCAACUUAGUUGCUAUUUACUUUGCUUGCUUUGUAUGGUUAAAAAAUGUAAUGUACUUCUUCGAGAUUAAUUUGCUGUCGAUUAACGUUUUAUUUGGAUGACUGAAAGUCUUGAUUAUCAGCUGAAAAGUUUUGUUUGUAGAUUUGUGAGAGUUACUGAUUUUGGUGUCAUCAGAUGAAUUAGGUUGUACCAUUGUGUUAUUGCGAGGAAUGUUUGUGAGUGGUCUGUGUGUUCUCGAGUGUAGUAGUUAUGUACAUGUAGUCUAAUGAUUUUUCAGAUACGGUGAUCGAAUUGUUGCUGUCAAAGUCCUCCAUCGUGGGAGCACUACCGAAGAAAGAGCUGCGCUUGAGAGUCGUUUUGCCCGUGAAGUUAAUAUGAUGUCCCGAGUAAAACACGAAAAUCUUGUUAAGGUAAGUGCCGUGAUUAAACAUGUCCUCUUUAGUUCAUGCAUGCUCAAACGGUUUGCAAACCGUUGGCUUUCAUAUUGUUUCACUGGAAUUCUUAAUUUAAUUCUUCUUUCUACAGUUUAUUGGAGCUUGUAAGGAGCCGCUUAUGGUGAUAGUUACUGAGCUAUUACCUGGGAUGUCACUUAGGAAGUACCUGAUGAGUAUUCGUCCAAAUCCAUUAGAACUCCACGUAGCCAUUAAAUUUUCUCUGGACAUCGCUCACGCUAUGGAAUGUUUACAUGCCAAUGGGAUCAUACAUAGAGAUCUAAAGCCGGGUACCGUAUUUGCUAGUUUGAGCUGUACUUCACUUCUGUGGUUUUUUAUUGCGGGAUAAUGUAUAGCGGAACAAUUGGCUUGUUUAUAUUUUAUCGGAUAGUGCUAUUCACACACCUAUUUUUAUCUCCCACACGCCCUUGUUAAUUUUUGUCCAUUGAUCUACUUCAAUUCAUCUGAUCCAAUGGCUGAAAUUUGGGAGGGGUGUGUGGGAGGUGAAAUUGGUGCUGGGAUAGCACUACCCUACUUUUUCAAUUGACAGACAUUUUUUUAAUAAAUAAAAUUAAGUAAAGAAUCCAAUUCUUAUAAAGGAACCGUUGUUUCUCUUUCCUUUUACAGUUCUGUUAAAUAAAUUAGACGAAAUUGCAGUGGUGCUUGAGCUAGAAGUUUACCCCCUUGCCGCAGAUGUCGCUUAUAGUUUUCUUCAAGUUGAAUUAUUCUUUUUGUUGGACUUCCAUUUAGUUCGGAAAGUUGCUUUCAUAUGAUCAGUUUAUGCUAUCCUAGGACCAACAGUUUUGAAAUGAUAAAUGGUAAAAGAAUGCAGCUUCACUUGGCAAGACUAGGCUGUACUUUAGUUCUAGAUGCUUGCCCUUUUUAUUUUCAGCUGGGUUAUGUGAUGCUGUUUUUUCAAUUUAGUAUCAUUACUCUUGAAAAUUAGUAAGUUUCGUUUUAAAAGCGGGAGCCUUGUGCACUGGGUACGACCUUUUUUUUACUCUUGAAAAUUAGUAAGUUUCGUUUUCGUGGAUCACAUGAAGCAUUUUUAUGUGGCUCAAUUAGUAUUAUUAUUCUUAUGGUUUUUAAUGAUACAUAUGAAAUGUCUUAUUGCAGACAAUUUGUUGCUUACGGCGAAUCAGAAACAUGUAAAGCUUGCAGAUUUUGGUCUUGCAAGAGAAGAAACGGUUACAGAGAUGAUGACAGCAGAAACUGGGACUUACCGCUGGAUGGCUCCUGAGGUUUGUCAACAUGUUUAUCUUGCUCACUUAAAUUGGGGAGUUUUAAUGAAAAGCCAACGGUACUGUUCAUUUUAACGAAAAAUCAUAUUUUUACACUAAAAAGUCAAACCUGGUAUUAUUCACUUUACUCUUUAUUUUGUCCUUAUCAUUAAAACUCAAAGUUUUCGAGCCUUUUUCAUUAGUUUUCCUUACUUUUAAUUGUUGAUACAAGAACUUUUAUUUGGUUGAAUAAACUGGACAGGUCUAGUGCUUUUUGUUUUGGAAAUAUUGCAUGGUUGUGAGUAGAAUGCAGAACGAUAAGUUAUAACUCUCGUUCUGCCUUCUGAACGUAUUUAUAGGCGCAUUUCAAUUGUGUAUCUAUGAUAGAUAGGUUUGGAAAUGCUUCAUUUGAAAUACGAAUAUUGCCAGAACCAUUUUAUACCUUGAUUUGUCCAUAACUACUCUGGUUGCUGGGGCUGAUUUUGGGUUUGGAAGGACUUUCCUACACGCAGAAAGAUAGACAUUGAUAAUGACUUGAUGCAGAUAUUUAACUGUUACAUAUGGAUUCUAAUUUCGCUGUGCGUGGUUUCUAUUUUAAUUAGGGUUGGAGAGGAUGAGUUCGAAUCAAAGUAUCAUUUAACAAAAUGUUAGAACACUAUCAAUCAUGCAACGUUAUGUGCUGAUGAGUCAAGCUUUGUAGUUCCAUUCGGGUCCUUUUGGUUGGUUUUUGUUUCUGAAUCUGCUUAAAAGCUAUAUUGAUCUGCUUUAAUGUAUCUUGCAGCUAUAUAGCACGGUAACUUUACGCCAGGGAGAGAAGAAGCAUUACAAUAACAAGGUCGAUGUAUAUAGCUUUGGGAUUGUCUUAUGGGAAUUAUUGACUAACCGCAUGCCCUUUGAAGGCAUGUCCAAUUUGCAGGCCGCUUAUGCUGCUGCUUUCAAGGUAUAAGAAUUCAAUCCGUUAUUUCUGUUAAUGCAUUCGGUCAUUCUGUGCAGUCUGUCAUUUCUGUUAAAACCAAUAUUCUUUUUUAUGUUGCUUACUCUUGCAUUGUUGUCUGAGAAUGCAGCAAGAGAGGCCUCUACUUCCGGAGGACAUAUCGCCCGAUCUUGCAUUUAUCAUUCAGUCAUGUUGGGUUGAGGACCCUAAUCUAAGGCCUACGUUCAGCCAGAUCAUCCGCAUGCUCAAUUCGUUCCUCUUCAAACUCUCACCACCCUCACCGCCUAUACCAGACACUGACACGAAAGAAGCAGCCGCAAGUAACGGUCCCAUGACUGAAUUAUCUGCCCGGACAAGAGGGAAGUUCGCUUUCCUCAGGCAACUGUUCAAUGCCAAGAGGACCAAGAGCUCACAGUGAGCAGCCAACAUAUUUUUGGAAACCAUCUUGUUCUAACUGAAGAACAAGGCAGACACAGGAUCGUAGAUACACAAUUUUAGCGAAUUCGUGAUCAAUCACUCGAAAAACGAUGAUAUGAUGUGCAAACGACGAGAAAACACGAAAUCAAAUAGUGUUUGAUGGGUGGAAAAUUCAUCAAGAAAUUAAACAGAAAAAAAUUGAGGAUGGUUGUUGCGUAGGAGGUGACCUUAUUGUAAAGGAACAAUUUUCUCUUCUCAUCAAAUGGAAUCCCUUCUUUUAAGCUCAUUCCGUGUAUUUACAUUUGUAGCCUUGUAGGUAAAGAAAUUCCAUCCAAAAUAGUUUGCUGAUGGAGGGUUGCAAUGGUCAUAACAUCUGAUACGAACGUCGUCGUUUCGGAACUCUUCAGAUACAUAAUCGAAUCCCAAUCAGCUGUCGAAAGCUCUGAGCUUUCGGAAUGGAAGAUGCUGAGUGUGAACCUCGCCGUCUCCCUCACGCUCUCCAAGCUUCUGCAACUUCCACAUUUCUCUUCCAUGGCGCAAGUCGAAUCGGCCCAAGCUUUCCUCACGAAGGCAGGUCUCUUCUUCUCUCACCAACCCAUCGUUGGAAAGCUCGUUGCUUUCGCGUCGCUGUCGCCGCUGGGAUGCCUGGCGCACGCCCAUGCCCUGUUCGAAGAGACCGCCAUGGACGACCCCUUCGUCUGCAACACCAUGAUCAGAGCUUACAGCAACAGCGUCUUCCCCGUCAGAGCAAUACAAAUUUACAACCGUAUGCAGGAAAUGGGUGUUGGGUCUGAUCACUUCACCUUCAAUUUCGCGCUCAAGGCUUGCGCCAGAGUGGUGAAGCAGAUGGAAGAUGGUGUGAAAUCGCACGGAUUUGGGGUGGAUAGAAAGGGAGGGGAAAUUCAUUGCCGAGUUUUGAAGUUGGGGUUCGAUCGUGAUCUGUAUGUGCAGAAUUCGUUGCUUUUUGUGUACUGUCAGUGUGGGUUUGUGAGACUUGCCCGGUGCGUGUUCGACGAAAUGACUGAGAGAAGUGUUGCUUCUUGGAAUAUUAUGAUAUCGGCUUAUGACCGGAUUAACGAUUUUGAAACCGCGGAUUCUUUGUUUCGAUCGAUGCCUGAGAAGAAUGUGGUUUCCUGGAAUACUUUGUUGGCAAGGCAUGUUAGGUUGAGCAACAUUGAGGCUGCGGAAAUGGUGUUCCGAGAGAUGACGGGGAGGGAUUCAGUUUCUUGGAAUUCUAUGAUUGCUGGGUAUGUUCAGGUUAGAGAUUAUGAUGGAGCAUUGAAGCUCUUCCGUGAAAUGCAAGUUGCCGAGGUGGAAGCUACUGAAGUAACGCUCGUAUCGAUCUUGGGUGCUUGUGCUGAAACCGGCACGUUGGAGAUUGGAAGGAAGAUCCACGAGUCCCUGAAGCACCAUAAGAUUGGAGGGUAUUUGGGGGUUGCCCUUGUAGAUAUGUAUUCGAAAUGCGGAAAAGUGAAUUCAGCCUGGGAAGUGUUCCAUGAGCUGAAAAUGAAACCUGUCGGCUGCUGGAACGCCAUGAUUGUGGGUCUGGCCGUACAUGGUUACUGCAAGGAGGCUCUGAAAUUGUUCAAAACUAUGGAAACGCAGCAUGGCGAAGUCAGGCCUAAUCGGAUUACAUUCAUCGGCGUUCUCAUUGCGUGCAGCCACAAAGGUUUGGUGGAAGAAGGACGCCGGUAUUUCAAUCACAUGAUUCAAGAAUACAAUAUCAUGCCGGACAAUAAGCAUUACGGUUGCAUGGUUGAUCUUCUCAGCAGAACGGGAUUGCUUGAAGAAGCCUACGAGAUGAUCAAAACUGUGCCUUGCGGCUCAAGCUCCUUGCUGUGGAGGACCUUGUUGGGUGCUUGUAGGGUACAUGGAAACGUAGAAUUGGCGGAACAAAGCUUUCGGCAGCUUGCGAAAUUGGAGCCUCUAAGGGAUGCAGAUUAUGUUUUGUUGUCAAACGUCUAUGCAGAAGCAGAGAGAUGGGACGACGUUGAGCGUUUGAGGAACGAGAUGAUUUGUAAGGGAGUCUCCAAAACGCUCGGCUUCAGCCAUGUAUAGAUGAAGUAAUUGAAGACAAGUUAUGAUUUUAUAUGGAUAAUUGGAUAUAAUUUGUCAGCAAAACAAAACCACUUUGGAACAGAUUUUGUCAAUUGAAAUUCUAAAAUCUUACAGGUAAUUAUGUUAGUCAAUUUUCAUUCUAUCGUGCAAAUUUGGGUUGGAACUUAAGUAUUGUUAAACAAGAGUGUACAAGAAAAAGAUGUGUGAAAAUCACGUUAUUUUUGUUAUCCGCUUUGAAAAUAUUUGUGAAUGGUGGUCCAAGGACCACCUGGUAUUUUCCUUUGAAAAGUAGUGAUUGGCCUUCAUGUGCCUUACCCUAGCAGGCAUGCAAUGGUGCCGUGCCUGCACUUUGUCUGUGUUUGCAUGUUGGCGAGUGGUAUUGGGACUUUGAAGGACUGAUGAAAGCAACAAUGCAUGACCAUGAUCGACACUUUCCUCUGGUCUUAAUUGUGUCAUAUAAAUGUCACUGUCUACUAUUUUGGCUAUAGACAAAGGUUCCCGCAUUAAAAGCAAAGAAAAUUACCUCCACCUGGAACUUACUGACUACACAGAUGGUACAGUGACGAUAUGUUAUCUUUUAUUCUGGUUUGAAGGGUGUCAUAUAGACAAAGGUUCCUUUAGUAAAAGGAGAGAAAAUUUACUUGUACCUUACAAUGAGACGUUAUUAUGAUGUCGUAAGCUAAUCACUUAUUGUCAUGUGUUUUAACCUUUUUAUAUAAGAGUGUGGGCCUAUCAUGAGCAUCUCAAGUGUAGGAUGACUUCAAUGACACAAGUACAACGUACUGCGAUGUCAUGUACUAAUGAUGCAAUGUCAACUGUCCCUAAUAAGAGUGUGGGACUAUCACGAGCAAAGGUUUUAAAAGACGUUAGACGUUAGUCAGGAGGCGAGCUAGGGCCUAGCACCUAAACGGCUAGACGGAGUUUAGACGGGCACCUAGGUAGACUAUGCGGAUUUAAGUAAAUCUAUUAUAUUUUGUGUAAAUAAGUGUUUAUUUAUACUUAAUAUAUAUAUAUAUAUAUAUAAUUUCAAUAUAAACUACAAAAUAGAAUUACAUAUAUAUUAUGAAACAAUGGUACAUAAUGAUAAAAUGGGGAACAAGCAUAUAAUGUGUGUUCAUUUAAGUAUUCAACAAGUCUCUUACAAUUUAUUGAGAAAGAUAAAAUGCAAAAUGAAAGUUAUUUAUAUUUUGUUUAAGUGAGUUGCAACCUAGACUGGUGCCUAGGCGGGCUAGGCGGUCUAGGCGAGCGCCUCAGCAGGUCUAGGCGCAUUUUCUUAAUUUUCAAACGCCUAGGCUUUAAUAGGGGCGGUGACCAGCCGCCUAGCGUUGCUACAACAGUGAUCACGAGUAUCUCAAGUGUAGGAUGACUUAAGAGGCACAAGUACAAUGUCAUUGUGAUGUUAUAUACUAAAUUACUAAUGAUGCAAUGUCAUGUGUAAACUACACCUAAUAAAAUGGUAAUUUGAGGCUUUCCAUAGUCACGUAUUUAGGGAAAAGUACAUUUGUCUCUUUAAGUUAACUGCAAUUGUACAUUUGGCUCUUGAAGUUAAUUGAAAUUGUGGCCUAUUUUGAUGGAAAGACAUUCCCUUAUUUUUAAGGGAAUUUUAACGAAAAGCUCAUGGUACUGUUCACUUUAAUGAAAAACUAUAUUUUUACAUUAAAAAGUCAAUCAUGGUACAAUUCACUUUACCCUUUAUGUUGUCCUUAUCAUUAAAACUCAAAGUUUUCAAAUCAUUUUCAUUAUUUUUCUUUAUUUUUAAUGAAAAGAUUCUUUUCCUUGUAAGCAAGUAAUAAGUAGAGAAAAGACUAUUCCUUUUCCUUAUAAGCUAGUAAUAAGUAGAGAUUUUUUUCCAAAAGACUGUUAGUUUCCAGUCUUUUCCUUUUGUUUUUGGCCAAAUUGCCAAAAGCACUUUUCAAACAAAAUUUAUUAUGGAUUUCUAUUUCCGCCAAAUUCGGAUAACUCGAAGAUUCUAAAUUUCAGAUUCGUUGUCCAAUUUUAGUUUGAAUUUCAAAGUUUUUAAUUACUAUGCACCGAAGUAUAAUGCCUUGGAGUUUUAAGCGGUAAGGUGAUUUGAAUUCUUUGACCAAAUAAAAAUAUGAACUAUCACAUUUUUGAGUCUUUGUGGAAGUUUCUUGAGGAGGACAUUGGGAUCAAAAUAAAUAAAAUAAAUUAGUAAAAUAAAACAAAAUAAAAAAUAAAAAAAAUAAAAAAUAGACCAACAAGGCAACAACAACCGAGCUUCAAUCCCGUACGUGUGACCUGACCACAGUGUAAGACGGCAAUGUUGUUGACCGGUCGGAAGCCGUCUGAUCAAAUCAGAAACGCACGUGGCGGAAUCAGUGUUGCGAUUAAGGGAAGUGCGCACGCUAAUGCGAACACACAUAGAUGCGAGAAAACAAACACUCCAAGUCAAUGCCGUCUCCUCGUUGUAACUCGGAAGCUGGUAGAAAAGUAAGCGAAAUUUACAGAGAGAGAAAGAGAGAACUGUAGAGAGAGAUAGAGAUAGAGAGAGAGAGAGAGAGGGAGAAUUGGAGAGAGAGAGAAGGGGUGGGAGAAGUACACACACAGGAAGAGAAUGAGAAAGAUUGGAUAAUCUUUCCAUGGAUUUUUGAGAUCCAGAGGAAGAAGGAGAAAGAGCUCCAGCUUGUUCGACAUAUCGAGUUCGAAUCGAAGAUUUUUCAGAGUCAAAGCAGCCGAAGAACACAGAGAGAGAGAGAGAGAGAGAGAGAGAGAGGGAGAAGUCAGCCGAAGAACCAAGUCCUGAGCUUUCUCGAGAAAAUGGUCGAACAGAGAAAUCUCCAAAAACCCAAUUCAGAAAACGCCACGAUUUCCCAAUCCCCUGUGGGUUUCUGGGAAAGUUUCCAACUUGGUCCUUUGAAUUGAGCUCCAGAACCCGAACAGGCAACUGGGUUUAGUGUUUCGAAUUUGGGGUCGGGUUUUAUCAUCCGUGAUCAGAAGAAGAGUGAGAGGGUUUUGGGGCAGUAGUGUGAUGAGAAAUGGGAGAAAAUGCAGCAGCUUUGCACACAGCUGUGAACUCCGUACAGGCAUUAGGAAGAGGUUUCGACGUGAACUUCGAUACAAGGUUGCUAUACUGUAAGGGAGCUGUGGGUACGAGGAUUCUGGAGCUUGACGAGGAUUGCACCAGGGAUAUCUGCCUAUAUGAUGAGAUAGUUGUACCGGGUGUUUCGAGGGACAUCAGGCAUUCGCAGGAGGCCGGCGGCCGGCAGAGCUCUGGAGUCUGCAGCUUCCAUGAGGUAAUGCUUACGGUUUCGUUGUAUAUAUGGGAUUGUUGUUUGAUUGUGUACUUAGGUUGUUGUGUUUGCUCUGAGGGUUUAGGUGGAUGUUGUAAGAGUUUGUGAAUUGGGUUUAGGUUGCAAUUUUUCAAACAUUUUACUAUGAUGUGAUUGUAGGGAAAGUGUUUAAGUUAUGAGAUUGAUGUUCAUUGAGAAAUAUGUCCCAAAUUUGAGUAAGAAAUGAUGGGUAGUUGCAGAAAGUUAAAUGGAACUUCGUAAAUGUGUUUGUUUUUAGCGUCGGACCGGUUUAAUGUAAAGGCAUGGAAAAUGGUCUGCUCGAUAUGACUCCGACUCCAUGUUUUGUGUCCUGCCACAGUUCAUGUGUGAUAAUAAUGUUCGUAAAAUUACUUCCCUCGAUGCACUAGCUACAACGUGUUAAACCUUUUUAAGAAUGUACUGGACUAGGAAAUAGCCGGGCGAUUGAACGCUCAGCUUGUAGGUACUUGUUUGAGCUAGUUUAGCAACCAAGCAAGAGCAGCAUCUUAGUGGUAUUGAGACAUUGGUGAUUGUGCUCAACAGCAUUUAUGUCUGUUGCAUUUUUUUAAGAGGCUGUGGCUUACUUUUAACACUGUGUGUGUGCUCGCGCGUGUGUGUGUGAGAGAGAACCCCUAAGUUAUUUAAUGUGAUCCUCGUGGCAAAUGGUUGCAGAUGGUUGAGUAUUUCAAUCAAAAGUCUAACGCAUCUGGCAGCUUUCCUCUUGGGAGUUUCAACUUUGCAUUUAGCUUCACUGGUUCAAAACAUAUUGAUGCUGCAGCCACGAAGACUCUUUGUGUGGAUGGAUUUUAUAUUCCACUUGCUAAGGUCCAACUUUUCAAAUCCCCAAUAGUGUUGCAAGAACAUGUUAAACAGGCUGUCCCAAGUAGUUGGGAUCCAGCAUCCUUGGCAAGGUAUGAUUAUGUAUAACUUUAGUAGAAAUAUGGUGAUGAAAUAGUUACAAAUGUUUCCUAAUAACUGGUCACUCUUUCUUGAUAGCUUUAUUGAAAAUUUUGGAACCCAUGUCAUAACAUCAGUAACAAUUGGUGGGAAAGAUGUAAUUUACGUUAAACAACACCAUUCAUCCCCAUUGUCUACCAUGGAGAUCAAAAACUAUGUCCAGGACAUUGGAACUCAAAGGUUCUCAGAUACAGAAAGCAAUGGAACUUCAGGUCAAAUGAAAUUCAAUGAUAAGGCUAGUUCCGCUUUGUUUCUUUUCCUUUUUAUUACUUAAUAGCCUCCGUCUUUACUUGAAAUUCAAUUUCUGAGUAUCACUUUUUAUAUAUAUAUAUUCAGGGUGGUGAUCCUGGUUUAUUCAACAGUCAAGGGAUAUAUCCUCAACCCACUAGUGCACCAUAUCUUGCUGGGAAAGAAGUAUGUAACGCAUUUAUUAUUUGUCUGCAGUAUCUCUGAUGCACUUGAUGGUUUAUCAUGAGAAACAAAUUUAAAAAAGUAUAUAGUUGCUUCUGUCUCUGAACCUCCUUACAUAUAAUAUAGUUUACCAUUUCUUAAAUACAUAAGAAGUACAGAGUAAACUCUCACCCAACCCUUGAUUUUGGCAUACCUUUGAACAUUUAAUCACCUUGCUACCGAGUUGUGUUAGUUCUAGAUGUUAUUUCUUACUACCUUAAAUUAUUGUUGAUGCAGGAUGUCACGGUCAUUUUCAGAAGAAGGGGAGGAGACGAUCUGGAACAAAACCACACCCAAUGGGCAAGAACUGUCUGUUCCUCUCCAGAUGUAAUCGAGAUGACAUUUUUUCCUAUAGCGGCCCUACUGGAAGAGAUACCUGGAAAAGAGCACCUGACUCGAGCUAUUGGUCUUUACCUUGAAUGUACGACAAAUUAAAUCGUCAUAGAUCAGUUAGAGUUUUCUUUUUCCUGUAGUGUGCUCUAGCGUCAGCAGCAAGGUAAUCCUGAUAAACGGUUUUGAAAUUCUUCUUGUAGAUAAGCCCCCAAUAGAAGAGCUGAGAUAUUUCCUGGAGUUUCAAAUUUCUCGAAUUUGGGCUCCUGUAUAUGAUAGAAAUAUUGGGCAUCAAAGAAAGGAACCUGUUUGCCCAUCCUUGCAAUUCAGCAUAAUGGGGCAAAAGCUUUAUGUCAGCCAAGAACAGGUAUGUCUUUUUCCAGUAAUCAAUCUCUCUUCGCUGAGCUCUUCCAUCCUUUAGGAGGCAUGUAUCUGUCUUUGGACAGAAUGAGACAAAAAUUUGCUCCGUUCUGUUUGGGAGGGGCCUGGAUUAUAUGAGACAGAGGGACAUCACGUCCUUGAGAUGUCUAAAUAGCCAUUUCAUUAUUUUUUGUGAUUUCGCAGUCUGAAUUUGAUUCAUGGUUUGAUAAAAAAAACCUUAGUUGUCAAAAUUACGCAUCCUCCUUGGUUAUGUCAUGUAAUCCCCAUCAAUGAAAUUUUACAAUGUGCUUUGUUGUUGUUGUUGUUGCAGGUUACUGUUAAACGGAAGCCAGUCACAGGCCUACGGUUGUAUCUAGAAGGAAGCAAGCAGAAUCGACUUUGUAUCCAUCUUCAGCACUUAGCAUCUCUUCCAAAGAUCCUUCAACCAUAUUGGGACAGUGAUGUGGCAAUUGGUGCUCCCAAGUGGCAAGGACCUGAAGAGCAAGACAGCCGAUGGUUUGAACCAGUAAAAUGGAAAAACUUCUCUCAUGUGAGCACUGCACCAAUUGAGAACCCUGAAACCUUCAUAGGGGACCUCUCUGGUGUCUACAUAGUCACUGGUGCACAGCUCGGAGUGUGGGACUUUGGAUCGAGAAAUGUCUUGUACAUGAAGCUAUCAUAUUCUAGGCUGCCAGGCUGCACCGUACGGAGAUCCUUGUGGGAUCAUACGCCAAAUGAAAAGUCAAAGAAAGCAACAUCCACUGGUGACUCAAGUUCAGGUUCAAGAGAACAUGUCGCUGGCAACAAGUUGGUGAAGGUUGUGGACAUGUCGGAGAUGAGCAAGGGACCACGAGACCAUCCUGGUCAUUGGCUGGUUACCGGUGGAAAGCUUGGCGUGGAGAGAGGGAAAAUUGUUUUAAGAGUGAAAUAUUCGUUACUAAGUUAUUGAGUCAGUUUAUAAAUUUGCAAGAUUGAUGUGCACAGUGGUGGUUUUUUGUUAGGUGAGAGGUGUCUUUGAUGUUCAUCCUGGUUGUAAACUUUGGCUGUAUGAUAGACAGACAAAGAGUGAGAGGAGGAUUGUGUAUUUGAGUGGUUUUAGUGUGAGUAGAUGCUGCCUCUUGAGAUGUAUUUGUAAGUAAAAUGUCAAUUAUAUCCCUCAUUUACUAGGAUCGUAAUUAAUUGAAUUGUUCCUUAAGGUGGAAAAGUUGUCCUCUUUCAUAUAUUUAGCAAAGCUUAACAAAAAUAAACGAAAACAUACACAAAUGAAUCUAGUAACAAAGGUUUGGUGAAAAAAAAAUUGAAGCUCGAGGGCUUUUGAGAUGUCAAUAAAGAAGCACUAAGUUGUGGUUGAUGUUAUGCGUUUAGAACUGGUUCGUUUUCUGUUUAUUUUCCAAAUAUACAGUUUCUUGUCGGGGUUUCUCUAGUUUUAUUGUCUAUUUAGUUUGUAACCAGUUCUUUUUGUAUUUAUUUUCUAAUUCUGUGCAUAUACCAAAAACAAUUAAUGAGAGAGAAAUAUAAACAUAGUGGCAUACUUAGCUGGAUGUAUAAAAAUUGCAUCUACAUCAUUGAUGUGAUAUUAUACUUUACUUUCACAAAAUCAAAGAUGCUAACUGCAAAGCAGUUUUAUGGAUAAUUAAUUUAUGAAUAUAUAAGUCCACUUUUGUAUAUGUAAUUGUUCUCCAGAAAUGAUCUAAAACUGGCCACCUUCAAAAGUCUGUCCAAACUGCCAACCAGCCGGCACAACAUUGUAGCUGGUGACGGUGCGUCCGUCGCUAGUGGUGACCUUGAAGGAGAGCCUCUGGCCAUUGAGGUAGGAGUUGCUCUGCCAAUUCUGGCCCCAGUUUCUUGACAUGGGUAGCCACCCUGUCCUAGAACCCUUGAUAGACACUGUACGGACGUCCCCUGCACCCCCAACAUUUGUGAUCAAAACCAAGUUGAAGUACGAGUGGCCAUUGAUGGUGAACCUUAUGCCUCCUUUCUUCAGACAUGGAACCCUAAACAAGAAAAUUACAACUAAUUAAUCACUACAAAUGUGUUUUUAAGCUAUUACAAUUUUCUCUCGUCAGUAGCAGGUCUGGUAUGUUAUGUUGUCAGGUUGUCAAUCGAAUCCUUGAUAAGUAGAAUUCAUCUUGUUUAGAUAUGUUACCUUCUAAAGAGUACCGGGACAAUUCCACCACGAUAUUCAGCGAUGUGCAAGAAAGCAGGCUCAGCCAAAUCAAAGUGUUGAAGAGGAGGGUUGCACCAGCCACCGUUGUCGUUAGACAAAGCAUUAUUAGGAGGACAGAAGUUGGUGGCUGUGACCGUGAUGACACCACCCGGGAGGCACCAUUUGGGGUCACUCUCAUGGUUGCAUCUGAGUUGGUAACACGCUCCACAACUCAAACCACUGUUGAAAAGAGCAGUGCUUAGAGCUGCGGUGCUUGUCCCGUACCCCUGGCUGUACAAGUUUCCAUAACCACACGCACCUCCUACAAAUAAGAGUAGACCCGAAAUUUGAAUACAUGAAAAACUAUCAUGUCUAAUGGUGAACAAAAUUGGUAAGCGUAGCGGCUCUCAUUUAGCAUUUAGAAAUGACAGUAAGCACUAUAUAAAGAACGUAAUCUCUUCAAGCUUACCCAUUGUGCCAGCAGCAUCACUACCACCAUAAAAUGUUGCAUGACCAGUAUACCAUCCGCCAUCGGAGGCAUGCGUGACUUGAAGACUUAAGUGGCAUAUGAAGAAGAGAAAAUGCAGGAUCUUCACUGCUUUCAUAGCCAUUGUUUGAUCUUAAUCAAUUUGUCUCUGUGUGUUCGUGAGUGAAAGGGUGGCUCCGCAUAUAUAGUAAGGAAAAAUACUAGUGAGUACCGUUCGAGCAUUGAAAAAUGAAUAGUUGGGUGCGAUUGUCACGUUGAGCUUGAGCCGAACUCAACAACCGUACUAAAUGGUUUUUAAUCACCUCAUGACUGAUUACUAUUAAUUUAAUUAUAUAUACACAUGUAAAAUGUUAUAUGUUGGAUUCUCCUUAAUUUCUAGUCCUAACUUAAAAACUAGAGAUUUUCCAGUGUGAUUUCAAUCUAACCCGUAUUAUAUAUAAAAUAUGCAUUAUUACUUUUUAGGUCGGUAACAUAUUCAGUAUUACAUUCACUCAUAUAACAUCACAUGAUAUUAAAAUGGCCACAACUCAAAAUAUUUUGGAACCAAAACCCUAGUUCGCUACUCACACGAGCGCUCUUUUCUAUGUUAUUUUUCUUAAUUAUUUUAAAUUUGACUUGGGAAUUUAGUUUAAUUUCCUCUAAACCGACAAACACAUAACUAGUAAUGUAAAUUGUCAACCCCUACAUACAAAAUUUUGAUGAUAAUUUAGUUUAAACAUAAUUGUAUUUUGUUUAGAGGAGGGGCGGUCUGAGAAAAGUUUGAAGGAUCACGAGGGAGUAGGAACAAUAAAAUAGGGUUGACCUAGAAAUUACAGUGACGUGUACUAAUUGUUGGAGGGUUGAGUCACAUGGAGGAUUAUAUUAUAGAUUGAUUGGUUGAGCUACUGGCCGUCCCAAUAAGGAGUCUUGUUAGGGGGAUGAUGAUGUGGCAAUAGAAGUUGAGACUAGAUUGGAACUUAGGGACGAGGAUCCUCUCCUGAGCUCAGGAUGGGAAUCCUCCUGAUCAGUUUAUCUGAACCGUUCAAAUUUAAUCCAACGGUUUUAAUUAUUAUAACUUUUAAAGGAUUUCUUAUUUGGAACCGUUGGAUUAAAUUUGAACGGUUCAGAUAGGCUGAUCAGGAGGAUCCCUAUCCUGAGCUCAGGAGAGGAUCCUCUUCCGGAACUUAGAAGCACAUCCCAAAUUAUAGUUUCCAAAACCCAAAAAAUAAAAAUUCUAUUUAUUAAUAUGAUGAAACGGAUAUAGAUAACGCAAGUUAGUUAAGAUAGUGUGAACGGCUCGGAUUCAGGUUCAAGUUUACUAUUUUACAUAUUAGAGUACUUUAUAUGGUCAAUCUCAGUUUACUAAGUUUCUUAGUUUUCAACAUUUGAUUUAUCAAGUUUUUUUUGUUCCAGAGUAGUAGCCGAAGUCAAAAUUUUGGGACAGUUUGAGGUUGCUGUUAAGUCAGUCGUUAACUAGUGAGUAACGUGGUGCCCAGGUAGACAAUGACUAAGCGCCACGUGCCAAUAUAGGGCUCAUGUGGAUAAAAAAUUAAAAUUUAUAAAAGAAUUUAAAAUUAAAAAAAACCUAACAGUUAAAAGUAAAAAAAUUAAAAAAAAAAAAAAACUAAAGCCCUAAAAUUUAUGCCUUUAAUUUUAAAUUUGAAUUUGUUUUUUUUUUAAUUUUUAAUAUCCACGUGGCCUAGAUUGAUACGUGGCAUCCAGUUAUUGUUCACGUAGGCGCCACGCCACAGGUUAGUCGCUGACUUAACAACAACCUUACCAGAUAUAUGAAACCGUCCCAAUAUUUUGACUUCAAGUACCACUCUGAAAUGAUGAAAAAAAAACAAAAAAAAAAAACUUAAUGUACUAAAUGUUGAAAAUCAAGAAAUUUAAGAAUAAUAAAUUGAAAUUAACCCUUAAAUAAGUGUCCUAAUUAACAUGCAUGCAUGUUCAUUGUUUCACUCGAAGUAACGUAAAGAUGAUGAAAAUGAGGAAGGUCCUACAUCUAGCCGGUAAACCAAUGUUUUCCUAGGAAAGAGAUCCUAUUCGGAUCUCUUCUAUCAAGGCCAUCAGAUCAAGUGACCUGAAUUUUUGAAAUUUGAUGUAACGGCUAAAAACAAAGGCUCCUUUAAGGGUUAUAAUAAUUUUAGAUGUUGGAUCAAAUUUUAAAAACCUGGAUCACUUGAUUCAGUGGUCUUGGUGGAAGAGAUCCGGAGAGGAUCUCUUUCCAUUUUCAUUAGCAUUGAAUCCUUCGUUAUGUUAGCCCCACGCCAGGUCAGCAAUUAUACAUCUCAUAAAAGUUCUUCAUAUGCACACACUCACUCCGUAUAUGCAACUUUGAAGGGCGCUUUAAGUCUUUAUGAUAGUACAUCGGGCAUCCCUCACCCUCCGAAUUAAGGUCACACAUGCAUGAUAUAUGCAACUUUGAAGGGCGCUUUAAGUCUUUAUUGUAGUACAUAGGGCAUCCCUCACCCUCCAAAUUAAGGUCACACAUGCAUGCUACAGAAAAGCGCUUAAGUCUUUAUGAUAGUACAUAGGGUAUUCCUCACCCUCCAAAUUAAGGUUACACAUGCAUGCUACAGAAAACAACUAAAAUAACUGUAAAAUAUUUCACGUACUAGGUCAAGGAAAUCCAACGGUGGAAAAACAUUACCCAAGUGUUCAAUUCUUUCUCUGCAUAUAUAUUGCAAGUUACCGGAGAAUAUGUGACGGUUCAAUAUUUUUAAUUUCCUUUCUAUUUCUAUAUGUAAGUAUAGUUGUCUUUGUUUUUACAUUUUAGGAUUUAUAUAUUUUCAGGGGCAUAUUCAUUCACAAACUCAGGUGGUCCCGAGACCACCCCAAAAGUUCGAAUGAGCGCUUGUGAGGACCUCCAUGAUCACCCAACGGUUUGGGCAGGUGAUGGAAGAGAGAAUACCACUAAAGCUGUGCAGAUAUUGUGCAAUAGAAGAUUUAGAACAAGAAGAACGAUUUAAUUUUAGACGCGGAGGAACACAAAGAAGACAAAUAAUGGUUUUGCUAUUCUUGGACCUUGGUUCCAAUGAAGAAGAAGACUUUCUUUCUCCAUUUUCCACGUGACCAAGUCUUCAUGUAGUACUCAACCAAUGCUUUUUAAAGAAAACUAAUGCAAAUGAUUUGAAAAUUUUGAGUUUUAACAGUAAGGACAAAAUAAAGGGUAAGGUGAAUAGUACCAUGAUUGACUUUUUAGUGUAAAAAUGUGGUUUUUCGUUAAAGUGAACAUUAUCGGGAGUUUUUCGUUAAAGUUCCCUACUUUUUAUACCAUAUGUUUGACACCGUUAUUUUUUUUCUUGUUGAUGCACAAAACCGGAGGUCUUGGUACAACGUAAAUCCGACCGUAAAUCCGCAUAAAAUGUAAAUGACACAAGAGUUAUCGUGGUUCACCCCAAGGUUUGGGCUACGUCCACACUGAUUGUAUUAUAUUUCUCUGUUGAAGAGGGAGAGAGAGCUUAGAGCUUAGGGGAUGUGAGGAGGCUCGAGAGGGUGAGAGAGGGGAUCUCAGGCCUAGGAAUUGGCCUCCGAGAGUGAGAGUGAGGCCCCUCUCUAAUUGUGAGGAUGAGGAGUCAUUUUAUAGAAUAAGGACUCCUCACUUAUUACAUAUUUGCCCAUUCCCUUAUUGCAUAAUUACAUUUGAGUCCCCCGAGUAUUUAUACCAGGUCUAAAUACGAGGCCCUAAAUAUGGUAUAAACAGUAGUCCCCUAAGUCUUCAGUAAAGAGAAUCUUUUGGCUGGAGACUUGAAAUUCAGUCCAUGUGUGGGCCGAAGUAACUAGAUGUUGUCUUGAACUGAUGCUCGAUAUGAGGCAGUGCUCAUUCUGAAAUAACGCUCAACUAGAAGUAGCACAUGCUGCGAGGCUGCUCGGCUCGUGGCUUAUGUUGCCAUGGUUGGCUCGGCUUGCGGCGUUUGAAGGUGAGGGAGUCCCUUUUAUAGAAUAAGGGCUCGCUCAUCAAUACAUGAAUGAUGGGCUAGAGUUGAUGCUCUCUAAUGAUGGUGAGGGAGUCCCUUUUAUAAAAUAAAGGAUCGUUCCUCAAUACAUAAGUGAUGGGUUAAGAGUGAUGCUCGCGGCGAAGCGGUUGCUCAGCUGGCGGUGUUACUCUCUAAUGAUGGUGAGGGAGUCCCUUUUAUAAAAUAAGGGUUCGCUCCUCAAUACAUAAGUGAUGGGCUAAAAGUGAUGCUCGCGGCGAUGUGGUUGCUCAGCUGGCGGCGUUGCUCUCUAAUGAAGGUAAGGGAGUCCCUUUUAUAGAAUAAGGGCUCACUCCUCAAUACAUAAAUAAUGGGCUAAGUCCCCCAAGUAUUUUUCAUGAGGCCCAGUUGAGGCCUAAUAUAUGGUACAUAAUGUAGUCCCCCAAGUCUUCGGUCAAUAGAGUCUGUUGGCUGGAGACUUCAAAUUGAAUCCAUGUAUGGGCCGAAGUGGCGGUUGUUCGGAGACGGUAUUUGUAUACCCUGCACUGAAGCUUUGUAGGUGAAGCUUUGCAAGUGAAGCUUUGAAGCUAGAGUUCUGUAAAUGAAGCUUUCGAAGUUGGAGCUUUUGUAAAUGAAGCUUUGGAAGCUGAUUGCCAUAAGUGAUGCUCAUGAAUGUUUAUGUUUCAUUGACAUGAGUGAUGCUCAUGAAUGUUUAUGUUGAUUGACAUGAGUGAUGCUCAUGAAUGUUUAUGUAUGAUUGUCAUGAGUGAUGCUCAUGAAUGUUUAUGUAUGAAUGACAUGAGUAAUGCUCAUGUAUAAUUUGAAGUACUAGUCGUACUUUUGAUCUCCUGGUUGGUGGCAUGAAGGAGAGUACGGGUUGUACAUUUCAUCACCUGGUUGGUAGCAUGAAUGGCUAGUUGCCAAAUUAGAGUACGGGUUGUACAUCUCAUCACCUGGUUGGUGGCAUGAAUGGCUAGUUGCCAAAAUUAGAGUACGUGUUGUACAUCUCAUCACCUGGUUGGUGGCAUGAAUGGCUAGUUGCCAAAAUUAGAGUACGUGUUGUACAUCUCAUCACCUGGUUGGUGGCAAGAAUGGCUAGUUGCCAAAUUAGAGUACGGGUUGUACAUUUCAUCACCUGGUUGGUGGCAUGAAUGGCUAGUUGCCAAAUGAUAUUAGAGUACGGGUUGUACAUUUCAUCACCUGGUUGGUGGUAAUAGCGGCGGGUUGCCGAAUAAUUGUGGAGUACUGGGCGUACUUUUGAUGGCCUGAUUGAAGCUUUUUUGGGCUUAUGGGCCUUCACCCUCCACAACAUGCCAGCCCAUUUAUUUUGGGCUUUGUCGUUUUUUUUUUUUUUUUUUUACCCUCUGAUGGGGUUUAUACAGAUAUUUCCGAAAGAUACAAAAAAAUAAAUUACAUCAUUAAAAAAUAAAUAAAGCAGUCGUUGGUGCGUUGCUUUUGCUUUUGUUUUCUGCUUUGCUUUCUUUUUAAAGUGACAACUGCUUGGACACUGAUAUCCCUGUUGUAAUAAUUGCAGUGGAGAUAAUAUAUAUAACAGGUGAGUGCAUGGUUGGAGUUCGUGGAAGACCCAUUGGUGGUGCCCGUGCCACUGCUAGUGGAUGAUUGCCUUUGCCUGUUUUUUGAUGAUGGUGUUUCUUUCUUUUUCUCUUUUCCCCCGCACCUCUCUCUUUUGCUUUUGCUUUCUCCUUUUAUUAUUCUGUUGCUGCUCCUCUAACUCCCUGUCUGAUCGAGAAAAAAGCCGCCGGUUGAAUUCAGGAUUUGCAGUUGCAAACUACGGCCGAGGUAGUUGAGGGUGAGGACGGUAAUCAGGCUUGAAUUGCUGGUGGCAUAUCUCACAAACUGUGUCUCCUUUUUCAUUACACCACCUUUGUACACAUCUUCUGUAGGCAUACCUUAAGCUGCCACAACAAGAGCACGACGUCUCCAUGUUUGAAUCCUGAUCUUCAUCCUGACAUAUCCUGCAUUCUGCUAGCUUUCCACGAGGGGAAGAGACAUCUUUAAACUCAAUUUUUUGAAAAGAGACAUCGAUUUUCCCAUCUUCGAGCGCUGAGCUUCUUGGCGGUUGUCUCAGGCACGACCUUUCUCUUUGUUAUGUUCUUCUCGAACUUCUCCACCUUCACUUGCAUAAUAAUUUUCAGCAAAUGUGCUUUUGUAAACGUACAGAGGCAAAUAUGCUUUUAUAUGAUUAUGAUAAACCCCAGUUUCCAGAUCCAUAGCGGGUUGACUCAGUGAUCGGGUAGAACUCAGUGGUCGACUCAGCUCUUCUCUCCCAGAUACUCCAGAGCUCUUGUCCCACUGUCAACAGUAUGAUAGCGAAACCAGGGAGAGACUUGAUGAGGUCGAAGCUCUCGACGGUGGAGAGGGGCUCGAGCCAGAGGUGACCACUGUGACCGGAGAACCCGACCUGGAACGAGAGCCCGUUCGCGAUUUCCUGAGCUUUCUGCUUGGCCAGUAGGUCUUCCAGUAUAUUCCUCCCUUUUAUGAGCAAUAGAUUUAAUCCUCUUUUGCUCCUGAACUGAAGUCGUCUUAGGAAAUGUCUCAGUUUCGAUAGGAAACUGUGAUUUGUUUCCUUCCACUUCUUUGGCCAUAGGUUGCAGCUGGACUGGUCCUGGAUUUGGCGGUGGAGAUUUAUUAGCAACAGGCAGGGGAGGUCUAAGAAUUUUGACUCUCUACUUCUUAACUAUCACCCACUUAUCUUGCAGAUCAGGAUCAUCAUCGGAGUUUGAAGACUCAAUUAGACCAUCAGUGGAGGUAUUAUUCUUAUGUUGGGCAACCCCAAGCUGCGUUUGCCUUUUCUUUGCCAUCAUCAGAGAACGAGUAGGAAGCUGGAGGAGGAGGAGGCAUGAUGGGUCGGUGGAUCUCAGAAUCUCAGAUUAAACGGGUUUGGGUCGGGUGCGCAAACCGGGAGUUGGCGAGUUUUUUUUAUUUAUUUUUUGGUGGAGGCUGGGCAGUGCUCAGAGUAGAGAGAGAGACAGAGACGUUGGUUGUGAGGGUUUUCUGGAAAAGUCACUGAAUUUGGAGCCGUGUGGAUUGUUUUGGUUCGCACAAUUUGUCAACAGGUUGGGCUAGAAAUCAAAUGCGAAAAGGAGAUGGGUUUUGCAGAUUUUGCAGAUCCACGGUGGAAAUGAAAAAAUGAAAGAGAAACCGACACAACAUUUCGUUUCGAUUCCCACAGACGGCGCCAAAUGUUGAUGCACAAAACCGGAGGUCUUGGUACAACGUAAAUCCGACCGUAAAUCUGCAUAAAAUGUAAAUGACACAAGAGUUAUCGUGGUUCACCCCAAGGUUUGGGCUACGUCCACACUGAUUGUAUUAUAUUUCUCUGUUGAAGAGGGAGAGAGAGCUUAGAGCUUAGGGGAUGUGAGGAGGCUCGAGAGGGUGAGAGAGGGGAUCUCAGGCCUAGGAAUUGGCCUCCGAGAGUGAGAGUGAGGCCCCUCUCUAAUUGUGAGGAUGAGGAGUCCUUUUAUAGAAUAAGGACUCCUCACUUAUUACAUAUUUGCCCCUUCCCUUAUUGCAUAAUUACAUUUGAGUCCCCCGAGUAUUUAUACGAGGUCUAAAUACGAGGCCCUAAAUAUGGUAUAAACAUUUCUAAAAUUCACUUUUCUGAAAAAUAUUUCGUAAAAUACUACGAACUCGUAGUCACAUGAACUUUCAUCUCAUACAAUCAAAUUCACUAAAAUACUAAAACUGUGAUGUUUUUGUAUGUAAUAUAUUAACAACGCAAUUAAAAUAAUAAACCCAAAUUUGCAAUACAACUAUAUUUUUUUACUAAGUGUAAAUAGGCACUCAUUUAUAUGAUAUAUAAUAAAUUUACUUAAAUCUGCCUAAUCUGGCUAUAACCCCAAGCCUAACCCCGUCUAGGUACAUAGAUGCUAAACCCUAACCUGAUGCCCAACUAGACCUUAAUUAGUCUCCACCCAAAUGCUAGAAACAUGUCAAUCACAAAAUCAAGGCCCAGUUUGAAAGCCAAUACCCACAAAGCACUAGCCUAAUCCCUCACACGUGUAGUGCAUUAAGGGUGCCUUUGUUUCACCAAACUAUUUUGGAUUAGACUAGUUUUAGGGAUUAAGCUGGACUGGUUUAAACUAGACUAAGAUAGACUGAUUUAGUGAAACGUUUGAUGUAGUGUCGGACUAAAAAGCAGGAUAAUUAAUAAACUCUAAAAUUAUAUUAUUUAAUUCAUAUUAUUUUUAAUAUUUUUUUUAUAAAUCAUCAAAUUAUAAUAUUAUACUAUUUAAUCUAUAUUUUUUUUAAUACUUAAUUAUUAGUUUUAUCUUUUUAUUUUUGGUUUCUAGAGUGCUCUUCAUCUCCCCCUUUUUUCUCCCUAUUUUUCUCCGACCUACUCUAGAAGCUGGAGAGCUCCAUAAUGCACGGCAAACAAAUCCCUUUAAUUUUGUUUGAAUUCCAGAUCAAAUCCAUCUGGAAGAAAAAAUGCACAAGAUGAAGACAAAAGCAAAAACGAGCAAGGCAGUGUAUAACCACCCCCUCCCCAUCUAAAUAUUGUAAGGCUUCGUUUAGUAAGCCAGAUGAAAUAUGUUGUGAUCAAUUAAAAUAGACUUGAAUCCAGUAUGUUGCUUGUUAUGUCAAAAUGGGAUAUGUUCAGAAUUGGAUAUGAUGAAUUCUGAAUUCACAAUAAAGUGAGUUAUCUAACAUUUCCUUAUACAUGAGUUACAAGCCUAUGCUAAUUCAAUCAUAUCUCUAAGGUCCAAUCUCAUGCAGCUCACGAAAUUAGUCCUAAAAUUCUGUGGCAUGGGGCCACGGUAAUAAUAAAGCGGAAAGAGGGAAGUUGGAAGUUGCAACUUGGAGCCAUAAAAUUCUAUGCAUUCACCUAAACCCUAAUUAAGAGACGUGGGCCAUCUAUAAUUGGAUGGUUAGAUAAUAUUGGUCAUGAAGUUUUUGCACUGAAAUGAACCCACAAUACUCAAUUUUGUUCCACUCCAUGACAUUGGGCCGUCUUGGGCUUCAGUUCUCAUAUUGAGACUCUUCGGGCCAAAUUGGGCCUCAAUUCGCAAUUAUUUAAACAAAAUCGACGCUGAAUGAGACCCCCCAGUGGGAUCCACCCUCUGGUUGCCGGUGAAUCAUUAGGAUUUAAUUUAUGGGCGGUCGGGCAAAUGUACCAUUCCAUUGAGUUGACGACAGGUUUCACUUCCGUCCUUCGAUUCUUAUACACUUGAAAAGACGAAAGGCCUCCAUAUUAUGCCGACGCGUGUCCAUAUUUACAAGCGACCGACACUCCUUUAAGCUAUCCUCACCGUAAAUUUUUAAGAAACUAACAAAAAUGGUUUGAAAACUUUGAGUUUUAACGAUAAAGAUAAAAUAAAGGGUAAAGUAAAUAGUACCAGAAUUGAUUUUUUAGUGUAAAAAUGUGAUUUUUCGUUAAAGUGAACAGUACGGGAGCUUUUCGUUAAAGUUCCCUAAAUUUUUUGUAUAAUUUUUUUUUUAAAUAAACAAUAUUACAAACACUAAACUGGUGAUGGAGUAGAUUGCACCUUGUAAUUGACUAAUCAUAAUAAUGUGCUUUUAAUUCUCAUUUGUGACGAUAAUCGAACAUAAAAUCUUUCAUUUACGAGCAAUGACGAAGUUUAUAUUUUGUAAUAAUGAGGUCAUGAUAAAUAAGCUUUUCACAAGAAUUUUUUUAAUGAAUUAAGCUACUUGUAAGUACAAAUACAUUUCACUUAAUAAAACUGCCUAGUGUUAUUUCUUUUUAAGUUCUAAUCUCUUGAAUAACGAGUUCACAACCAAUUCAUUCAUCUACCCUUUAGUAUAAAUAUAUAGUUGUAUUAAAAAAAUUACAAAAUAUAUGUGGUCGGUUGCCAUGAGUCUUAGAGAAUGUCAGAAGGCUCACAUUGUAUAUCUUACGUUACAAUUCUCAAUUAUUAAGAUCAAUUCAAUCCAUUGAAAAGAAAACUAAAACUCCAUCUUUGAUACGAUUACUAGGGUAUGAUGAUAAUUUAAAUUGUGAUUAAAUUCAAGACUUAAUAAGAAGACAGUUGCUGAAACAAUUAAUGUGAGACGUAAUUAAGUGAGUUAUGCAAUUGGCAAGCGAAAGAUGAACAUAUGUAGUGCACAAACUGAUCAAACAAAGACCAACCCACAUGAAUUAGGAAGUAAAAAUGAAGCCAAAUUCCAAUUGGAUGGUAUGAAAAAUAUCUAGCAUCGCUCCACCUACACCAUCCGAAUUGGUCUUCUUUGAACUAAUUAUGAGGUCACGACAACAAAAAACAAGGAGGAGCACUGGGUUAUUGGGGUUGUGAGUAUACAUCGCCCCCAGUGUAGCUCCUCUACUACUUACGAGUUCAGAGAAAUGUCACUAUACGAUUGUACUAAGAACUUCAUCAACUUUAAAUUUUGACGUAUGCCUACUAAUAUAUCUCUAAUUAAAUCGUAUUUUUAAUUCUUUUCAUAUCUUCAAUCCCACAUUUAAAACAAUUAUAAAUAUAAAAAAAUUAUGCAGUUUUUUUUUAACAAACGACAUCAUCUAUACUAAGGAGGUGAAUGAGUUGGUUAAGCCUCACAAUUUACUAGUAUUAAUGUGGUUAAAAAAAAUUACAGUUAAAUUUAAUGUUUUCUCUCUCUCUCAUUAUAGCCUUGACCCCUUUGCCCGACAAAUCACCAAAUUAUGAGUUCAGAGAAAUGUCCCAAUACGAUUGUACUAAGUGCACCAUCAACUUUAAACUUUGACAUAUCACAUAUGCCCACUAAUAUAACCCUAAUUAAAACGUUUUUUUUUUAAAAUUCUUUUUAUAUCUUCAACCUCACAUUUAAAACAAUUAUAAAUAUAAAAAAAUAUGCAAUCUUUUUUUUAACAAAUUACAUCAUCUACACUAAGGGGGUGAAGGAGUGGAUUAAGUCUCACAAUGGACUAGCAAUAAUGUGAUUAAAAAAAAUUACAGUUAUAUUUAAUGUUUUCUCUCUCUCAUUAUAGCCAUGUCCCAUUUGCUUGACGAAUCACCAAAUUACGAGUUCAGAGAAAUUUCACUAUAUGGUUGUACUAAGUGCUCCAUCAACUUUAAAUUUUGACGUAUGCCCACUAAUAUAACCCUAAUUAAAUUGUAUAUUUUAAAUUCUUUUUAUAUCUUCAAUCCCACUUUUAAAACUGUUGAUACACAAAAUCAGUGGGGACUUUGGUACAACAGAAAGUGUUAAGUUUGUGACAUUCGCUAGAUUACUCCGGUCACUAGUAUGAAUAAGUAUGUAAAUGGAUAGGGACAUGGAAGCAAACACAAGAUGUACGUGGUUCACCUAGAUUGGCUACAUCCACGAAGUAGAGGAGUUCUCAUUAAUUGUGAAGGGUUUACACAAGCACAUAGGUUCAAGCUCUCCUUUUGUGAGUAUUAGUGGAUGAUUUAGUACAAAUGACAUUAGGAAAUAUUGUGAGAGAAUGAUCUCUAUUUAUAGAAGAGAGUUUCUAGUUUCAUUCUGACAUUGACACGUGUCGUGUUGUGAUUGGCUUCUGAUGUUGACACGUGUCGUGCUAUGAUUGACUUCUGAUGUUGACAUGUGUCGCACUGUGAUUGGCUUCCUGGUUGGAAGGAAACUCUUUUGGGUCCUUGACGGUAUAACGUUGACCGGUGGUCAGUAGUUUCGGGAUUGGUCAAGUAUGGUGCAAACAAAAACAAUUAUAAAUAUAAAAAAAAGUGCAAUUUUUUUUAACAAAUAAUAUCAUCUACACUGACACACCCCGAUCCUAGAAUCAAGAAGUGCUGGCCGUCACGUGAGUGUGACGUAACUAAAAGUGCGACGCGGAAGCAAUAGGUAAGAGAAAUACGAAUGAAUAAAAACCAAAUACUAGCAAUAAUAUCCAACUGGCAUGCUAAAGUGAGUUUAAGUGUGAAACACACAUAUUCAGAGUAUAAGUACUAGGUGCAAUCAAGUAGGACCAUAACUAAAUUACAACACCCGAAGGUUAGUUCUACAUUUAUGAAGUCUGUCAGUACGCCGUGGGAAUCCUCGUGGGCCACCAACACUGCUAAUUAGAACCUGGAGGGGCGCAAAACAAAAUUGAGUGGGUCAGUAAAGCAAAGCUUUUUGAAAACAUUUCAAUUAAUAAUAUUUCUAACCCCUCGCUGUACAACCUGUAUACUUUCCCAGAAAAUAACAUAAUAUGCAUAUAAUCUUCAUAUAUCUCAAAUCACAAUUCUUUAUCAAAAAUCAGAAAGUAUGCCAUGCUAUAAAUGUCAAUAACAGAAUAAGGAUGCAUCAAUAUAACAGGUGAAAUAAUGAAUCAACCGGAGACCCUGCAGUUGGUCCUGUACGGUUAAUUCUAAAGUUCAAUAUCCACUCCAACCGGAGUCACCGCAGUGACCUGUACGGCGCUACUCUGCACAUAAAUCGGAACUACCUGAAGUAGUCUGUACGAUAAGAAAGGUGUAAGAAUACGCUCUAGUGCUUCUCUCAUCAAUAGCUGUAUAAUAAUCUAAAAUCACCUACAAGUCGGAACCACCUCUCAUGGUCUGUACGACAUGUCGAAACCCUCUAAUGGUUUGUACGACAUGCAUCUACUUGGAUCCAAGGUGAGCGUGCAGUGCAGGGUGAAUAAUAUAAGCACUAACACCAUGGGUGCAGGUUUUAAGCUCUCAACACAAUUCACAUCAUCAAUAGUUCACAUGAAUAACAUAAAACUCACCUGUGCGUCCACAGCACCAUUUCACAUAUAUAUGCAUCAAUUACUAAUUCAUAUAAUUCAUAAUAUGCAUGUAUAGCAUUUUAAAAACAUACUUUCAUUUAAAUUCAAUUUCUGGGAAAAUCAAUAGUAUAUAGGUAAUAACAGAAAAUAACUGUCCACUCACUGGUAAGUCGAAGGGUCGUAACCCUCAUGACGUCUUUGAAUGCGCUCGUCCUCGGGAUAGGUAUCAUCUAUAUGCGAAACAACUAUAAAAACAUUAAUUAAAGCACAUAACCGACAAUUCGAAAUAACUUCUCAUACGAUGCUUAAUUUAAUUAUAUGAAUAUACCAUAGUGACCUACUCGACGUCACGGAUGUCGAGGUAUUUUUAGAAAAAAAUUUAGAGGCCGUACGCGCCCCUACGCGCCGGGAGGGGCACGAACCCACGCGCCCCCACGCGCAUCACCUUCUUCCUCCAGUCGCCGGACUGGUUUUGCCGGUCGCCAGAAAACUGGAGAUUUUUCAAUCUCCUUGUUCUCCGUCAUUUCUCAACCAUUUUUCAGGCAUUUUAUAUCAAAUUGAAGCCCUAAGCGUGUAGAAUCAUGUUACACUACUUUGAGGUUAAAAAACAUACGAAAUCUCACCAGAGAAAUUCCAAGAAAACCGGCCAACUUCGAACCCGGCGAUCCCGACGUCCAAAACCUUCAAACUAAACACUCCAAGCUUCCUUAGGACCUUACUAAGCUCACCGUAAGCUUAGAAUUCCCUGAAAUUCAACAAUUCACGUGUGCAUGAACAAUUCACAUUUUCGGGGUUAUGGUUUCACGAUGAUAUCGAAGGUUUUAAGUUCUAAAAUUAGUAUAUUUGAACUCAGGGACUCAAGAGGAGUUCGAUUCUUACCUUAGAACCUUCGAUCUGUGAAGAUUUGAGGGUCCUUGGUUCUUGUCCGUACGGUUUCGAGAGAGAGAGAGUGAACUGAGAGGGAAGAGAAAGAGAGGGCACAGGUAGGAGAGAGUGUAUGUGUCCCGUGUGUGGUCCAACCAAAACAACACAAUCCAAUUAUUUAAAUCCCUAACCACACAAAACAUGCAUACCAAACUUUUAAUCCAACUCAAAUUAUUUUCCAAGAUUUUAGGAGAGUAGGUAUUUAUUCAAAUAACGCCACACGUACCUUAGCAACCGUCAAAGGCAAUUCCGUCAUUUCAUAUCAACGAAUAUGAAAUUCCGGUACGGGCUGUGACAUACACUAAGGGAGUGAAUGAGUGGGCUAAGCCUUACAAUGAGCUAGUAAUAAUGUAGUUAAAAAAAAAUUUAAAGUUAAAUUUAAUGUUCUGUAUCUCAUUAGCCCUGCCCCCUUUGCCUGAAGAAUCACCAAAUUACGAGUUCAGAAAAAUGUCACUAUACGAUUGUACUAAGUGCUCCAUCAACUUUAAAUUUUGACAUAUGCCUACUAAUAUAACCCUAAUUAAAUCGUAUUUUUUAAAUUCUUUUUAUAUCAUCAAUCCCUCAUUUAAAAUAAUUAUAAAUAUAAAAUAAUAUGCAAUUUUUUUUUUUAACAAACGAAAGGGGUGAAGAGGUGGGCUAAGUCUCACAAUGUGCUACCAAUAAUGUGGUUAAAAAAAAUUUACAGUUAAAUUUAAUGUUAUCUCUCUCUCAUUAUAGCCCUGUCCCCUUUGCCCGACGAAUCACCAAAUUUUUUGAAUUAAACUUUGUAAACCAAAUAAUGUGGUUGUUGAUAAUUGGAUUAUUACUUAAGUAUUGAAUAACAUGCUUAUUUUUUAUUGGUGACAUAUCAUUUUGCUUACAAAUUUGAUUUAAAAUUUUGGUCUUUCUAGCAUUAUCUAAUAUAUAUAAUAGCUAUUCUUCCCCAAAUUCCAGUAUGCAAAGCUGCAAAAAUUCCAUGGAAAACUUCUUCACUAAACCCAAGAUCUAAAUUUGUGAUCGAAAAUUAAAACAACUUUGAACCUGUAGGCAGAAAUUUUUGAUGUAAUAGUAGUACUUGAUGUUUCUAGUUAACGUGUAACGAUCAGGAAAGAAGGAAUAUUGAUAUAUUGUGUACAAAAACUGUAUUAAUUUUUUAAUCAAUAAAAAGGAACUAGUUGGUGGCUUCGCUAAGGUAGCCCACUUUUUCAAGGGCUAGGAAGACUUACAGAGGCAUUUAAACCUCAAUCUAAUCACCAUCGUGCGAUUCACCAACGCCAUGUGAAAUACAAGCCUAAAAUUUUAUGUUGGUUAAUUUUGGAGAGAAGGCGAGAGAACGGAAGACUUAAUGCCCAUGAUUGAUACCACUAUGCAAAACAAGAAAACUUCACCAAUAUGAUACGAUCGUCAAAUGUCCUAAAAAUCUCUCUUUCUCUCCGAGUGUGAAAGUUGUUCUCUUUUCUUGAGAGUCUUUCCCACCUUUAGUGUGUGUAGCUUCCAACCCGUCGAUUUCGUUGCCGCCGGCCCUCGCCGAGGCGAGGGUCGAUGGAUGCUCUAGCCGCUUUCUUUCUCCUUCAUCCUUUCGUUCCUUUUGCUUCCUCUCUUCCCAUCUAUCCUUCCUAUUUUAUCCAAUCCGUUAUACCUUAUGGGCAUCUGUCAUGCCCCGAUCCCGACAUACGUCCAGGAUCGACACGUGAUGCCACCAAAUACCCGUAUCUCAAACAUACCCCGCCUCCGGAAUAUGACAAAUCACAACUCGAGAGUCGAUUCACAUAGCAAAUUUUUGUAUACUUUAUGGCUGCAUCUAACCUCCUCAUUAGACGGCUUACGUACCCUCAAUAGGAAUCAAGCCAUUCGCAGUUUAUCAUUCACUAUACUCGAACAUUCAUCACAUAAACCGCCAUGUCUCAACACAAUACACAAUUCAGCGCGUCCAGCAUCUCAAGGGAUAAUCGACAAAGCACAAAAUAAUCUAUAGCCACAUUGGUCAAUGGUCUAUCACAAUCAUAACAAUUACAUCCCACAACAUCCAAUAAUCACACCAAAUAAUAACACGUACAAUACACUAAAAUGCAGGGUUAGAGCGACACAGUUCGGUCGAAGCCUACAUCUCUGAAGCUAAAAAUAAAUCCAAAGAACCAAGUCACCAAAGGGAUUCCGGACUACUCAACGGAAUCCAAAUCAGGAUACAAUUCUGAACCAUCACUCAACGAAAUCGCGGAGUAGAAAGGAUUCCGGACCAUCACUCAACGGAAUCGCGGAAUAGAAAGGAUUCCGGACCAUCACUCAACGCAAUCGCGGAGUAGAAAGGAUUCAGGACCAUCACUCAAUGGAAUCCGAAUGGAUACGAUUCCGGACCAUCACUCAACAGAAUCGCGAAGUAGAAAAGAUUUCGGACCAUCACUCAAUGGAAUCCGAAUGGAUACGAUUCUAGACCAUUACUCAACGGAUUCGCGGAGUAGAAAGGAUUUUGGAUCAUCACUCAACGGAAUCCAAAUAGAUACGAUUUCGGACCAUCACUCAAUAGAAUCGCGGAGUAGAAAGGAUUACGGACCAUCACUCAACGGAAUCUAAACUAAAUUAUGAUCGCCUAUCGAAAUGUACCAAGUACAACUAAUCAUCAUCACCUCUAAAAUGUGUAUGGUCUCCUAUCUCGAAUAUACUAAGCAGGACCAUCCAUGUACCACUGUUACAUGGUGCAAUACAUUCAACACACAACUCAACCCCUAUGAGUUUCAACGUAGUAACCUACACCAUCAACUUUUCAUGGCCACCAACUAAUAUGUCACACAAGCAUAUAAGUUCUACAGAAUACAACCAAUAAGAUUCUAGGAUCACAUUGUCAUAACAACAAUCAUACACAUCAUACUAAUCAUACAUAUCUAACCACUUUUCAUAAACAUUUCCAAGCUACAGUUGAUUCACAAUUAAUAAACAUGGAUUGAUGCUAAAAAUAAAAAUAACAAUUCAAUAGAAAACACAUUUAAUAAACAAGUAUAACUCAAUAUGGUGCCACUAAUACAUAUAUUGAGACACACGUCAACUGGGAACGACACGUCAUCGUGAUGAGCCAACUAAGCUCCAUCAAACCUCGACAACAAACUAGAGGUAAACGACAAUCUAGAGUAGAGCACGUUGACAAGAACGUCAACCGUUGAUAAGGUAGGUCCAUUAAGGUCAACAAAUCUAAGGUUAUUCAAUCCGGAAGAUCCGCACAUCGGAUUUCCAAUCCGAAAGUUCUCAAAGGUCCAACAACUAAUAACUAUGGUGCUCACAAAAUUGUACGACUAUCCAACGAUCGUAUUGUCAUCAAUCACACAAAUAAGUGGUGGUCCAAUUUGAUCACCACACCAAACAAUUGAAUUUCAGGAAACCGAGCUAGACAUAGGUUCAUAGGGUCACUAGAAGGUAUUUGGUAUUUAGACAACACUCGUGGACGGUCCCACGCACCACCACACGCGAUGGUAGCUAUGGUGAAGGAUUUGAAAACCCAAAAUUUCAACCUUAAUAAAAAAGGCUCAAAUUUACGUGGUAACUAGAGCUCAACAAGGGAAACAUUAUUCACAACUAGGCCAACAACAAUUUAUAACCGUAAACCAUCCAAAUUCAUCGGAGAAAACCGGGUUUCUAGGGUUCUAAACACCCAACUCUAAAACGAAUACGAAAGCAAAAACCAAGCAUACCAACUUGAAGAUUAUGAAGAAUAGAUGAAGUUUAAUACCUCACUAUAAAGAAAUGGUAGCCGAAAUCACCGGAAAAAUGACAAAAUCGCCGGAACCCAUGAAAUUUUGCUGCCUCGAACUGGAAAAAUGGAUAAGAAAAUGGGAAAUCUAACACUACAGAGAUGUAGGGCUCACCAAGAGCUUUCCAUGGACACCAAGAUCACCCAAAAUGGAGAUCGGAUGAAGGAGAUACAAGCGGGUCAAGUUUGUGGGUUAAUGAGUCCAAUUCAUCCCCAAAACGGGUUAGCAGCAGCCCCUCUCCCAUUUUUUUUUUUUUUUUUUUUUCAGAAACCUUCCCCCUUUUUAAUUUGAUUUCUCCUUCUCUUUCUAACUAAUUGGUCCUCUUAUUUUUGCUCAAAUCUAAUUAGGCUUCUUCCUUGUGGAAGUUUAAAUGAUUUAAAAUCAAUAGUUUAGUAAAACAACUUCAAAUGUCCGUAACUAUACCAUUAUAAUCCGGACUCGCAAACGGCUUUCGCCUAUACGUUCGUGGUUUCAAGAUCUAUUCGAAAAUAUAAAUUGUGACCUCGAAAGGUCUACGGAUUUUAAAUAAUUAAUUUCCAAACUUCAAACUUCGUAAGUAGUUUAAUUAAAAUCUAAAUUCAAACAAUUUAAAAUAAAUUCUCGAGAAAUAAUAUAAAAUCUCAAUAAUACAAAUACGUAGAUUAUAAUAGUGAAAUCCAAGAACGAGAUUGCACAACAUCCAUCUUCUUCGACUUUUUCCGAUCCAGUCUGCUAUUAGCUUUCAACGCAUUUUGAUGCGCUCUUCUGAGAAGGUGUGUCAAGUUUCGGUUACACCGGCUCAGGUGUUUACAACACCACCUCCUUCUCUCUGUUUGCCUUUGUUGGCAGUGUUGUCCAUAGUAUUCCCAUAGGCUUCUUUUAUUUUCUGGCUGAGACCAAUGCGAUGAUCGUGGCUGGGAGAUAGGGUAUCCCUUCGUUUCAUCUCUACGGUGCUACUUGGAGGGAGUGGUGGUGUCGAUUUGGGUAAUUGAUUUUAGUUGAUCCGGAAGCACUGUUUUGGCAGUGGAAGCAAACUAGAAUGUUCCGAAGCUCUGUAUCAGAAUUUGGGCUUUGGGUUGGGCUUUUGUAAGAUAGUUUGGGUGGCCCCUUUUUGUAUCGUUAAUAUUUGUUUGUUGGCCUUUGUCUUUUAAUUAACUUUUAUAAUAAAACUUCUUCCUUACUACAGAAAGGAUUUGACCAAAAAAAAAGAAAAACCAAUAUGACUACACGCUCUAAGCCUAUGUGAAUACAAAAGGUAAUGUAAGGGAGGUUAAUUUAUAAAUAAAAUCUUGUAAACUAAAUAACGAGGAAAUUAAUGAUUAGAUAAUUAUUUAAAUAUUGAUUAACGUACUUAUUUCUAUAAGUGAUAUAUUAUUUAAUUUGUAAAAUUAAUUUACAAAUUUAAUUUACUUAACAUUAAUCGACACGAAACCCUAGUUUCUGCAAAUAUGAAUAAUGAAGAUGAAGGUAGAUGGAGCGUGGACCACAACCCAUUCUUGCCUUUCGGUGCAGGCAUGGCAAGUUAUGGCACGAUGUCAAUGUGGUCGAUCGGCUCACAUAUCAACGGGCAUGGCACACUAACCCGUACCACAUUAUACAAGAUUGAAAUAUUGGUAAUGGUAUGGAAUACAUAUUUUUAGUUUUAUACAUAUUUAUUUAAUUAUAUUUAUUGCUUUUAUUUGAGUUAUUCAAUUUAAUGGUAAAAAAUAAAAAGAAAUGUGUAGUGUGUUAAAAGCUAAAAUGAGUAGAACAAUACUUAGUUUCUAACCACGAGCUAGUGGUUCAGUAGUAAAUGACGGAUUACGAGAUUUCUUUAAAACUAAAAAUUGGAGAUCUCAGGUUCGAAACCCACUGAUGAUGUGGAAGCCAGACUUGUGGUUAGAUAGAUGUUGAAAUACUUCGGUGAGUCUUCCCGAUCUCUUGAAGGGAUGGAUAACGCUUGCCACAAGUUCCUUUUUUAAUAUAUAAAAAAAAACUUGGCUUCUCAAGAUUGAGGAGAAGUUUCUACUAAAUUUACUAAGUAGCCAAUUUUUAUUUGUAAGAAUAUUGCAUAUUUUUGAACUUACUGACAAUUAUUAUUAUGUGAAGGCAAGUUUCUGAAGACAAGAUCUAGAAAAAUUAUAACUUUUACAGUAUGGAGUUUAUUCUUAUAUUAUAUGUACCUAACCCAAAUUGGGAUUAGAAAUUUUUUUUAUGACUAUAUGUAGGUUAUUUCUAUAUAGAGUAUCACUGAAUAGAGGUUUUACUGCAUGUAUAUACUUGUAUUAAUACAUACAUCAGGUUAUGACAUAUCAAUAAUAUUGUCCAUCCUUAUUGUAAAUGACAUAUAUUAAUAACAAUAAUACUUGCGUUCAAAUAAAAAAUUGAACUGUUUCGAUUAUUAAAUUAUUGUGGUAAAUAUCCAGAUGUGUGCGCUCCCCAUAGAUAAACACAAAUAUUAUCUUAUUAAUAACAAUUUGACACUAAUUUAUAUGACUAUCAUACUAAAAAAAUCUCUAUGCUCUGAAUUUUUAUCUAUAUAUCAAGGAAGGCGUAUUGACUAUUUCAAUGUACAAUUCCAGCUCAUUCUCAUGUACCCAAAAAAAUUACUAAUGUUGGAUUAUAUUUAAUUAGCACAUGAAACUUACUAAAAAGAAAAGCUAAAACCUUAUUGAUUAGGUGAAACAAGAAAAAAACAAUGCGUUGCACGAAGAUUGGGUGUUCAUAACAAAUUAUUGAUAACCAUUAAACCUACACAUCUUUCGACGGGCUCUGCUCGUCGUUUACGGCAUUUAUGCAGCAUGCACAUCUUGUCCCGACCAUCUUUCUGCAUGCGUUCAGGCCAUCCAAACCACUACCAGUAUUAAUUUUCUACACAGAAAAUCACAACGUCCCACUACAAUUUCCCCCUAUAUAAACACCACAUCCUGCCCCAAAUUACUCAUUCAGCAUCCAGUUAAAGCACCACUAAAUACUAAAGCAUCCUUUAAUUUGAUUCUCCUAAGCAAAAGUUAUGGCUACCUCUAAUCAGGUGGUUUGUGUUUUCUUGAUGUGCAUAGUGGUGGCUGCACCCUUGAUCACCGAAGCAGCACUCACGUGUGGCCAGAUUAAGAGCGGUCUUGUGCCUUGCCUGGCCUACCUUCAGAAUGGUGGCUUCCCCACUCCAGGCUGCUGCGGUGGGAUCAAAGGCCUGAUCCGCUCAGCCACGACCACAGCUGAUCGACAGAAUGCUUGCAACUGCUUGAAAACAGUUGCUGGCCAAAUCAAAACUAUUAAACCAGCAAACGCGGCUAAACUCCCAUCCUUAUGUAGCGCCAACAUUCCCUACAAGAUCAGCACCUCCACUAACUGCGCCAGGUAAAAUUUUUUUAUCAAAUGAUGUAUUAGCCUUUUUUUUAAUUUUUUUUUUUAUCAAUUGUUUAUCAAAUGAUGUAUAAGCUUUUAGCUUAUCUAAACUAAGCGCACUUUAAAGAAUCGCGAUAUUUUUAACAGAUAUUAACAUAUUUAAUAGCACAAAAAACUCACAACAUGCUCACAAAUUGGUAACCCUGGCAUAUUUUGUUUUUGUAAUACACUAAGCCUUUAAACUUUAUAAAUUUUUUUUUUCUUGUUUUAAUAACUAAAGUAAUAUUUUUCGUUAUUAUGUUGCAGUGUGAAGUGAAACAUCAGGUCGAUCUGGAGGGGCAUCUAUCAAGCUAAUAGUAUAAUUAGCUAGUCUACUUUAAGAAUAAGAGAUGAGUAUUGAGUCGUUUUGAGCUCAUUUUCCUUUAAUGCAUGUCACCGAUAUCAGUUAAUUAGUCGUUGUAAGUGAUACUGACUCUUAUUAUCUUAAUCAAGGAAUCUAUUUAUUCUCUGAGUAAUAUUAAUCAUACCAUGUUUUUGUACCACAUUUUCAUACCACUUUAGGUGACAUUUGAUGUGGACAACCAUAUCAUUUAAAUUAAUCAGAUUUUUAAAUUUAGUUCAUUAUUUAAUAAACUAAUAAUUAAGAAAAACUAGUUUAUUAAAUAAUGAUUGUGGUAUACAAUGAGUCUUUCUCCUUCAUUUUCUUGGGUUUUGUAAAUUUUUCAAAUGAUGUGGUUGUCCACAUCAAAUGCCACCUAAGAUGAUAUGAAAAUAUAGUAUAAAAACAUGAUAUGAAUAACAUUACUCUUAUUCUCCUUAAAUAUUUGAGUUAAUCUCAUUGCUUUUCUUUUAAUUAAUUUCCUCCUCCAAGAAUAAUCGUUAAUCUCGUUUGAAGGCGCAGUUCCCAUACUAUUGAUGUAUGUAGAAAUUAUUCCCCGACUCAAAAGGAAACAAAAAUAGAGAAAAAUAAAACUCCCACUUGCAAAUAAUUCGGUCAAUACAAUUUAGAUGUUAUUUAGUAUUAUGAUAUAAUGAUAUUCCUAUUUACUUGUAAGUGAGAAAUUUUAAAUUUGAUUUUCUCUAAAAACGAAUAAAAACGAAUUUGAACCAUAUUAUUAUUAUGGUCAGCUCAUUGUAAGGCCCACUCUCACACUCUCUUAUUGUAAAUAGUCUCAUUUGUGCAAUAUAUAUAUAUAUAUAUAUAUAUAUAUAUAUAUAUAUACACAGAGAGCUUAAGGGGAGGGAUCCCCAUUUUUUCAAAAAAAAUGGGGACACGCUCCCCACCGUUAGAUUGACUUUAAUGAAAUUGUGUGGUUGAGAUUAAAACACAGGCCACAAAAUCUCAACCACAUGAUUUCAUUAAAGUCAAAUCCAACGGUAGGGAGCGUAUCCCCAUUUUUUUGAAAAAAUGGGGAUCCCUCCCCUUAAGCAAUUCCAUAUAUAUAUAUAUAUAUAUAUAUAUAUAUAUUAUAAAUUCAGAAUAAUAAAUCUCAUGAUGAGUAACUACAGCAGCACAGCUAAAGGUAAAAGAUGAUUAUUGACUAAUAAACUAUUCAUCUUCCUAUCCUGUUAAGGUGGAAAGGGUAAAAUUCAUCAUCUACUUUCAAUUUAGACUAUAUUUAAGACAAACAUUCAUUUCUUACUUCAUCAUUGAAUCUAAUGCGUUAUCGAUUCAAUUCUAUCUUAAACACUUUAGAGGUUAUGAAAUGAAAUUUAGUUAUUAGAUCUUGGUUAUUAGAUCAUUGACCAAGAAUUUAACAGCUCUAUACACGGAGGCUACUAAGAAAUCUCUUCUUCAAAGUAUGGUUCAAGAGUGGAUUUCAUUGGCAAAUAGCUUUAAAAUUGAAAACUUGCUCGGAUUUACAAUUUAAUAAAACAAAAGAUGGCAUUUAAUCUUAUUGAUAACCACUAGGUUGACACAAUAUUGAAGCUUAACAAUUAAGCAACGAGGAAAAGGAAGAACUAAUUAGAUAGAUAGAGAGCAAGUUAGGGUGAGUUAGCUAGAGAAUUAAUCCCUCGAGAGAUCUGGCUCACGAGUUUUUUUUGGGAGUUUUAACGAAAAGUCCGCGGUACUGUUCACUUUAACAAAAAACCACAUUUUUACACUAAAAAGUCAAACCUGAUACCAUUCACUUUACCCUUUAUUUUAUCUUUAUCGUUAAAACUCAAAGUUUUCAAGCUUUUUUCAUUAGUUUUCAUUUUUUUUUUCACUUGAUUUUGGUCAAAGAACAAAUAAUAUUGAGAGGGAUUCUGAGGUACUUGCGUUAACAAGAAGGGAUACUGAACAGGAAUCAAUUACGCACCAUGCACCAUUGGCCAUUAAUUUCAAGGGCCCCCGACCUUAAUUGUGUACCCACCUAGGUGCCGGCAACCAAGAAUUUGGACGGAGACUUGUUUGGGGUGCGACAGAGUUCGGAUUUUCUUCAGCCAACCGGGAAGACAUUAUCCAAGGUUAAUAUUUUUUAAUUACCUGGUUUUACCAUUAAAGACAUAUAUAUAGUGAAAAUCUACCACAAAUUUUUUCAUUGUUUCAAUCAAGGGUCACAUUUUUGUGAAGUACACAAAGCUUCAACAUAUAAGCUUCAACAAAAGAAAAAUUCAAAAAACUUAGUGAAGAAGGCUUUGAUGUAUUUAACACAAUAUGUUGAAAUGAAGCAAAGCUUAUUUAUUGAUAUCUCCGAUAAGUUACAAAUAUGUACAUAUACAUGAGUUAAAAUAAACAAACAAGAGGGGGUCUUCACAAAGGUUGCUUAGGAGAAGUCUCAGCAGUCGGUAGAGCCCCAGAAAGAGAAGGCACCGGAGGGUGAUCAUUCGGAGCCUCAGUACUGAACAGAACCCUAGAAGGAAGAGGCAUCGGAGGCUGAUCAUUUGGAGCUUCAUUACGCGUUACAACCCUAGAAGACGAAGGCAAUAAAUGCCUUUAGAACAAACCCACAAACCUCUGAUGAUCAAGUAAAAUCUGACCAUCAGAUUCCUUCAUCUGGUCAAGCUUCCUCUUCAUGUUUGUAGCAUAGUCAUGUGCGAGCCUGUGCAACUGUUUAUUCUCAUGCUUAAGCCCUCUAAUCUCUUGCCUGAGACUCAUCACUUCAGCCGCCAAUGAUUCAACAUGGCGGGUUCGAGCAAAUAGGCGUUGGGCCAUAUUCGACACAAAACCUGCACACUGAACACUGAGAGCCAGAGAAUCCUUAACAGCCAACUUCUUAGACCGUUUGGAAAGAAGUCUGUUAUCUUUGGGAGUGAGAAUGUUCCUGGCCACCACCGCAGCGGUCAUAUCAUUCUUCAUCACGGAAUCCCCAACGGUAAGAGGACCAGUAGGGGAUAAGAAGGAUGGGCGCCAUAUAUUGUCUGAAGAAGGCGCGGCUGCCUCUUCACCAAGGUUCAAGUCAAAACGACGGUCGGAAGGGGGAGACAUUUUCAAAGGUGUUGAAGAGAGAAGAGGUCGGACAAAUCAAGAUCUUAGAAGUGCAAGAAGGGAGAUUCUACUGGUGGAGAUUCAAGUGUGCUUUGGAACUUAAUGCCAGCCUCUAGAAAAAUCUGCACUCGACGGAGCUUCAUAAAUUGAAGAGGCGCUUGCUCAGAAAUCGAAGAGGCGUUUGCUUUCUCAAAAGCUGGGCUGCUCAGAGACCAUGAGGGCCGAUCUCAGAGAUCGAAAAGGCGUUUGCUUUCUCAAAAGCUGGGUUGCUCAAAGACCAGGAUGACCGAUCUCAAAAAUCGAAGAGGCGCUUGCUUUCUCAAAAGCUGGGCUGCUCAGAGACCACGACGGCCGAUCUCAGAAAUCGAAGAGGCACCUGCUUUCUCAGCCUUGUCAGCACAUGUCACAUGCACACUUAGCUUUGUAGAAAUUACGGGCAAUCUGUCGAAGAUUUCUGGUGAAGUAGAAAGCACGUGAAUCUUACUAUUCAAUCAUCCACUUUCCACACGCAACAUCAGCUCAUGGGUACCACAUAUAAUUUUGCCAAAGAUCUCUGAUAAAGUUUAGACACGUGAAACUUGCAGCCCCCACUACAUCGCUAUGAUCAAGAAGGGUAAAAGAAUAGCAAAGAAACAGCACUAACAAAGUUUAGACACAUAAAUUUUGAAGGUUUAGCUACCAUAUUAUUACCCACAAGGGUAAAGGAACAGCACCACUGCUGGAUAAUUGGAAAGUCCCUGUAUGUCAACCUCUGUGCUCCGUGGCAAGGUAGACUAGCAAAAAUGCCUAACCUUUACUCACAUUCGAGAAAACACUCCCAACAAGAUUGCUUGCUCCAAAAUCGAAGAGGCACUGCCCUCUGAAUCUCGAGAGCCAGACUCCCAACAUGAUUACUUUCUCAAAAAUAGAAGAGACACCGCUCUCCGAAUUUUAAGAGCCAGACUCCCAGCAGGAUUGCUUUCUCAAAAAUUGAAGAGGCACCGUUCUCCGAAUCUCAAGAGCCAGAUCCCCGACAUGAUCGCUUGUUCGAAAACCGAAGAGGCAUCGCUUUCUUAACUUCGAGAGCCAGAUCUCCUUGGAUAAAGCUUGUCUGUAAUCUUCACACGCAACAUCAGCUUUCCAGAUACCACAUACCACUUUUUCAAAGUGCUCUGACAGAGUUAAAACACGUGAAGCUGGCAGCUCCCACUACAGUGUUAUGACUAAGAAGGGUAAAUGAAUAACAUUACUACUUGUUGUUAGGGAGACUCCUAUAUAUGUCGACCUCCAUCCUUAAUAGACAGGCAGACCUGCAAAAAUGCUCAACCUUUCCUCAUAUCUGAGAGGGCACUCCCAACGAAGCCUCUCGAAAUACUCAGCUUUCUUUCCCCCCGAUAAUACCUCUGCAAACAAGCUACACCAGAGCAAGAAUAUCUCAUAUCAUCAGGGUUAAAAGCAAGAGUAUCCCAUAUCAUGCUUUUUCCCUGUCUUUUCCUUUGGCCUUGUUCUUACUUGUAAGACAAAGAGAAAUAGAGCAAUCAGUCAGCACUUGGAAUCAAGCUUCCAGUCAGGAACUGACUGCCUGGAACCCCUUACCUGAUUACUUACCUGGCAUUGCUCUCGAGUACUCAUCUUUAACAUCUUAUGCUUCCAGAGAAGAUACCACAUCUGCCUGAGGAACAGAUAGGGCAAGUAAGAAGGAUACAAGGAAGCAUGUGGAGACAAGCGUAACAGAACAUGUGCCGAUACUUUCACUACUUUGUCAACAGCAAAAGUAUCCCAUAUCAGCAGGGUCUAACGUACUCUAAAUUUGAUGGACUUGUUUUGACCCUCAAAUUCUUCAGUCGGCCUUAUACUCUGGAGGUAACCAGAAAACCCUCCAGCCCAGUUCAAGAAUAAGCCUGUGGAAAGUUACUUCUUAAAAAACAAAAGUAUCUCAUAUCAUUUAUUCUCCUUUUCUUCUCUUUAUCCUUCAUGCUACUUGCAAGAUAAGGAGAAUGAGAACAAUCAGCCGGAACUCGAAAUCAAACUUCUGAUUUGGGACUAAUUGCUUGGAGCUCUGAUUGCUUACCUUGUCUGUCACCUCUUUCAGCAGAUCCCCUAGCUCGGCGACUUGGGGGACUCCUACUACAUGGUUUGUAUCGCACUUGACCAAGCCUGAAACUACAAGUAAGCUUCAAAUGAAAUUGAUACAUUACCUUGUGCAUCUUUACCAGUUAAAGAUACUACCCCUGGACGGAGGAAGAGUACUUCCAGAGAAGAUGCUACAUCUACCUAUGUGACAGAUAAGGCAAGUGAAGACGAUAGCACACUUCGGUACUUAGAAGUUUCGUGAUUACUCAGUGGCUUGGAUUUUGUAAGUCCCCAACCGAGGAGCUUCCCUUCCAACCAGGAGGCCAAUCACAGAGCGACACGUGUCGACAUCAGAAGCCAAUCAUAACGCGACACGUGUCAACAUUGGAAGCCAAUCACAACACAACACGUGUCAAUGUCAGAACAAGGCUAGAAACUCUCUUCUAUAAAAAGAGAUCAUUCUCCCAAAAUAUUUCCUAAUGCCAUUUGUACUAAAUCAUUCACUUGUACCCACUAAAGGAGAGCUUGAACCUAUGUACUUGUGUAAACCCUUCACAAUUAAUGAGAACUCCUCUACUCCGUGGACGUAGCCAAUCUGGGUGAACCACGUACAUCUUGUGUUUGCUCUCAUGUCUCUAUCCUUUUACAUACUUAUCCACAUUAAUGACCGGAGCAAUCUAGCGAAUGUCACAAACUUAAUACUUUCUGUUGUACCAAAGUCCUCACUGAUUUUAUGCAUCAACAAUCCUUAAGUCCUUACCUUUUUGCAUUGGUAAUGGAUGAGUUAACAUGACAUAUUCAAGAUGUUAUUCCUUGGUGUAUGCUUUUCGCAGAUGAUAUAGGGUUGAUAGAUGAAACUCAGGAAUUGGUAAAUGCGAAGCUUAACCUUUGGAGAGAAGUGUUGGAAUCUAAAGGUCUUCACCUAAGCCGAUCAAAGACAGAAUAUAUGGAAUACAAGCGGGAUGGAUGAAGUGGAAGAGUGCAUCCGGCGUGUUGUGUGACCGUCGUAUGCCACUGAAACUCAAGGGAAAAUUUUAUAGGACUGCAAUAAGGUCGGCGAUAUUGUAUGGCACAGAAUGUUGGACGGUGAAGCAUCAACACGUACACAAAAUGGAUGUAGCGGAGAUGAGGAUGCUUUGUUGGAGGUGUGAGCUCACGAGAAAGGAUAAAAUUAGGAAUGAGUGGGUUGGACAUGUGCAAAGAAGGCCUAUUGACGCUCCAGUUUGAAGAUGUGACUACGGGACAGAGGUUCAGGGCCGAAGGGGUAGAGGAAGACCUAGGAAAACUUUGGAAGAGACCCUAAGAAAAGACUUAGAGUACUUGGAUCUAACGGAGGACAUGACACAAAACCGAGCGCAAUGGCGUUCUAGGAUUCACAUAGCCGAACCCAUUUAGUGGGAAAAGGCUUUGUUGUUGUUGUACACAAUAACUGGUUACGAAAUAGCAUCGAAUUGGCAGAAAUAAAAUGGUUGUUUUUCGUAGUGUUGUUGUUAAUUGAUUAGUUGGUGCAAUGAAACUUAUAUUACGGUUUUUAUCAAGGGUGAUACUAAAGAGACCAUUUACUUGAACUAUAUUUUGUAGACCACAUGGUGUGGUGUUUGAUGAUUGAAUUCUUUCUUUAAAUUACACAAAAAAACUUAAUAUUAAAAAAAAUUAACCAUCAAUUAAAACAUUUUAUGGUUUUCAAAAUAUGAUUUCCAUAUAUAACAUUAUAUAAUUAAGUACCUUCGCUUUCACGUAGGUGGUAAGUGACGGAUCUUUUAUGUGAUCUGGCUAGAAAGUUCGAUUUUGUGCUUGAGAGUAAUUAAGGGACUUAAUUGUAAUUAAAAAAAAUAGAGCAUGGUACGUACCCAAAACAUUAAUUUCUUCGCAACGACCAACCAACUUCCUCCCAACUCCUACCACACGUACAUGCGCAUUUUCUUCUGUAGUUCGGUGCACACUGGGUAAUGUGUUUCUCACUCGGGUGAUAUUUAGGAGAUCUAAUUUUUAAAUCAAAUUGUGUAGACUAAAUGAUAUAGUUGUUAAUGAUUAGAUUAUUAAUUAAAUGUCAAUUAACGUGCUUAUUUUUUAUCAGUAAUAUACAUUAUUUUGUUUAAAAAUUUGGUAUUCCUAACAUUAUCUUUCUCACUAUAUAUUUACUAGCAAGAAUAUAUAUCAAGGAAGAUACGUGGUUGGUUUUUUUUUUAUUUGGAGUUUUAACAAAAUAUUCUUGGUAUUGUUCAUUUAACGAGAAACUACUUUUUUACAUUUUCAUGGUACUAUUCAUUACACGUUUAUUUGUAAUUUUUUCAUUAAAACUAAAGUUUUUUUUUUACUUUUCGUUAGUUUUCAUUUUUUGUUUUUUAGUUCAAUACAUGGUUGCCUAUAUAACUUUUCACAACAAUGGAGUAUAGUAAUACUUUCUUUCAUUCGUAAAUGGAAUGUAUUGACUCUAGGUUCGACUCUUUUGUAUGAUGAAUUCAAAACUAAAUUAUUAUGAUCGAUCAAUCGUUGUAUAAAAAAGAAAUCAUUCUUCAUUACAGACAAUCAUAAUUUGAGUUGUGUUCCGACUAAUUUUUCAAUACCUUUAGGGUGCUUUUGUUGCACCGGACUAUCUUGGACUGAACUAGCUUUAGGGACUAAGUUGGACUAACUUAGUGAAGCGUUUGGUGCAGUGUCGGACUAAAAAGCAAAUACUUAACAAACUACAAUAUUGUAUUAUUUAAUACAUAUUUAAUAAUAUUUUAUUAUUAUUUCAACUUUUUUCCUUGUUUUUCCAAAAAAAAUCAUGCUCUGGAAACUUCUCUUUCUCCUCUUUGGUUCCGUCCGGUCCUUAUCUCCCUCUUUCUACUUUUCCAUCUCUCCAUUUCUCUUCGUCCCCAUAACAACUUUCUCUCCCCUUUUCAAUCCAUUUCUCUACUCCUUCCCCAACUAAUGGCAAAUGAUAUGGAUAUUUAAGCGGUGGGUGUGGCCGCAUCAGCUGUGAGCUGCUGCUGUUCCUCCAGAUCGGGCCACGGGAGAGCAAGCACUGCCGACUGUCUAGCCACAAUGGCGGGGCCGUAGAAGAAAGAAGUUAGAAGCCCUGGGACUGGAUGUUGGUGCCGACAUCAAUCCGAGUCUGGGUUUUCGGUGCAAAGAGAUAGAGGAAGGGAGAGAGAGGAUGCGAAGUGCAGGAACAGACGAGAGAAGACGAAGGUCUUAGCAAUCCCGUGGUUUUGCGGGGGUCUCGCUAAGAACUCCUAGCGAGGCCUCUAAUCCACGCGAGUCCCCUUUAGUCCCAUUUAACUUAGUCCCUAUACAAACCAAACAUGGGACUACAGUCUAGUUCAAUCCAAUCCCAGUUAACGAGGUCAAACAAACGCCCCCUUAAAAUAUAAGGAGUACUUCAAGGUUAUAAUUCAUCGCCAUGAUUGAGGUAACAAGUAAUUAAACACGUAAAGCGUUGCCACAAAUUUUUUUGACCACUAUACCCUUCGUUCACACGUUUUCUCUCUUAAUUUUUCUCUAUAUAAGCACCACCAUAGUGCCUUUACAACUCACUAGCUACACGAGUCUUCAAAUCAAGUUCUUUCACAUCCAUUACUCAUACACACUUUGGUAAUCCACAUCCUAAUUAAUUCGUUAUGGCUAGCUCUGCAGUGAUCAAGCUUGCUUUGGUGGUGGCCUUGUGCAUGGCGGUGAGCGUUGCUCAUGCCAUAACAUGUGGCCAGGUGAGCUCCAACCUUGUACCAUGCUUUGACUACGUGAGGAGUGGCGGACCUGUCCCUCCAGCUUGCUGCAAUGGAAUCAGAACCAUUAACGGCUUGGCCAAGACCACCCCUGACCGCCAGGCUGCUUGCAACUGCCUGAAGAGUCUUGCCGGCAGCGUCAGUGGUGUUAACCCUGGCAAUGCCGAAUCGCUUCCUGGAAAGUGUGGAGUCAACGUCCCCUACAAGAUCAGCACCUCCACCAACUGCGCCACGUAAGUAUCACAAAACCCAAACUACCGUUGGAUCAAAAUUAACUGUUUGACAGUAUCUCAAAGAACCCUUAUUCCCGUUUGAUCUAACGGUUGAAUUCCAUAACCUAAAUAAAUGCAUACCUCGUUAGUAAUUGUUUUUGUUUGGGCUGAUGUUUCUUCCUCAAGAACAACGAUAUAAUUUAUUGACUUCUGUGUGUGUUCUUUUUUUUUUUUUUUUUUGGGUAUGAAUGCAGCGUGAAGUAAGCUUGAAGGGAGAUGAUCAUUUUCGGCGGCAGAUAAUUAUAAUAGAGUGAAAAUAAAACGUGGUUGUGCGAUCCGGCCACAAUCCUCAUGAGGGAAUCGUUUAAGUUAUUCUAUACUACUUCUGUAUCAUCCCUAUAUAUCCAUGUAGAAUUAAUUAAUAAUAUAUUAAGUAUAAGUAAAGUUCUCCUCUUUUGCUCUAUAUUCCUUUUUAAUUACUUAAAUUCCUCUUCCUCCCACAAGAAACUAAACAAAAAUGGAACGGAAAGAGAUACGAAGAAAAAAGGAAGCAAAACAAGCAUGAUCAACCGCUGGAUUGAAUUCACUAAUGACUGUUAACAUUAAAGACUUGUGAUGUGGUUGAGAUUACUGCAUUUUUCGCUAAUAAAAAAUGGAGUGAAAAAUCUAAAUCUCCAGGUUUUUUAUUUUGAAAGCCAAUAGAUUAAAAGCUCCUGGUUGUUGAGCCUGCUAUUGUUAGUAAAAUUUGUGAUAUUAAUUAUGAUGUCCAUAGUUGAGAAAAAUGAUGAAUUAAUUUGGGUUGGGAUUUUCUCUGCCAUGAGCUACUUGGUUACAAACUAAUUAUGCUAUGAUACUCGAGCUCAUUUUAGAGCUACUGUUCCAAAUAAAGUGCCGAGACUUAAAGGGUGAACCGAAAACCGUACAGAAGAGUAACUUUGGUUUGGUUUUCUCAAUUCGUAAAGGGUAAACCAAAGUAACUAAAUUCAAUCUUUAAAUUUUGGUUUGGUCCAGUUCGAUUUCGAUUUUUUUUUUUUAAAUUUGAAAUUGGAAAGAAUUGAAGGAAAAAAAACUUGAGGUUGGGGAAGAUAGAUAACCCGAUUUCAAGAUCCACAAAUAACAAUCAAUUCAUAAAAUUAGAUAUUAAGAGUCUAAGCACUCAAUGAACCACAAAAAAAGAUAAUUCACAAUCUAACAUUACGAUCGUAAAAUAAGUAUUCCACUAAACAAAAUAAAAAGUUUUUAAAGCAUGGAAGCUAUUACAAAUCAAGCUUCAACUCUACAAUACUUCAACUUCAAAAGUUCUAACAUCUAACCAUUGUGAGCUCUAAUGAGAGUUUGCAUAUGCAGGGGGAACAACAUUAGGAUUAAGUGUAAAAUGAUGUAGUUUUGCUUAUUUUGGUUCGGUUUUUUAUCCAAUAAGAACCUAAAAUUGAAUCAAUAAAUUUCAGUUUGGUUUCUUCAACUUUCUUUUUUUUUUUCUAAUUAAUUUUUUUUUUCUUUCAGUUUUCAAUUUUCUAAACCCCUAAUGAUUAGGCCCUUAAAAAUUCAAAAUAUCACUCACCAUCAUCUUGUUUGUGGGUCGUGGACUUGUCCGAUUGGGCCCUAUUGCGCCAUGUACCUUCUACAAAUGUUGUUCACUUGUGUACUGUUUGGUACGCUGAUGGGACGGGACAGAACGAAGGUUCUGUGUUAUUUUUGGUACGCCCAUGACGGAAUGGGAUAGUUGUUCCAUUCUGCGUUUGGUAUGCGCUGGACGGAACGAAAUCAAAAGAUUGAAUGACUAAUUUAUUGUUCCAUUAUAGUUUUACCAUGCAUUUUUUAUCAUCUGGGUCCUCCCUCUGCAAUCUGUUUCAAGAUGGUUAUCUCAUCCAUGGCCGCCUCAGGUAGCGGUCAGCACUCUUUUGCACUUUCAGAGCAACAAAUCUCUGGCAUUUUUGUGCAAUUCAACACACACCCAACAAAAACAAGACACAUUUGUCAUUAAUCCUCCAUUAGUUUACUUAAAACCAAGGUCUAAAAUAUUGAUAUUAUCCCGAUAUUUCCAUCUAAAUUUCCGUGUUUUUGGACUACCGAUAUUUCCGAUAUUAUCGAUAUUUUAGACCUUGAUAGGAACUCUAUGUGGUACUAAGUCACUCAUGUAUCUGACCAUGCAAUGUAUAAAGUGUAAAAUAUUGUACUAAUUCAUUAUAUAUAAAUGAUUAUAGUGCGUUUAAACUUCUUUCAUUAAUUACUACAUAUUUUCUACACUCAUAAUGUUUGUCAGCUCGCUAUAUAAUCAAAUUAAAUCAGUUAAAUCCAUCAUGAAAUACAUUUCCUUUCGAUUUUUUGUGAUAAACUAAUAGAUAAUUGACUAAAUAAACAUCCUACAAAGUUUCAAUAAAAAUUUCCAAUUUUUCUUACAAUUUCCGUGGUUUUUAUUCAAUUUUUAUUGAUAUCGAUAAUAUCCCGAUAUUUCCAUCGAAAUUUCCAUGUUUUUGGACUACCGAUAUUUUCGAUAUCAUCGAUAUUUUAGACCUUGCUUAAAACUAAGCAUGUCAAAGAUAAAAAAAAACCAAGAACAAGAUUAAAAUUUCAAUUACUUUCCCCUACAUUCUCAAAAGACUAAUAUCUACAAACUCAGAUCAAAAAGCAAUAAAAUGCAGUGUUGUAAAAAGAGAAGAGAGAGGGAGAGAGGAGUAUAGAGUGUUGGGUGUCCCAGGCGAGCCAGACGGUGGAGAAAUGGCCCCAGCCGAGCUUGGUCUGAACGACAUACCGUCCGCUCUUGAAAGUGUCACUGAUUCGGACGGCGUGGUAGCCGUCGCGCCGGUAGUCCUCCGUGCCUUUGUCCUCCGACGUGUAGUUGCUACUCUGACUCCGAUUGAAAUUUUCCAUGGAAAAAUCAAGAAAACGAACCUGGAGAUGCAGCAGCUACGGGAGAAGAUCGAGAUUGAACCUGGAGAUACAGCGGCUACGAGAGAGGAUGAGGAGGAAGAUUACGGGAAAAGGUAGCGGCAUGUAGAGAAGAUAGAACAAAGAAGAAAGAGUUUUAGGGUUUGUUUGUUUUUUUAUGGUGUAAAUAUUGAAAAACAUGAGGGGUAUUUUUGUCUUAAAAUGUUAUAAUUUUGUGUUCCACGGAUGUGGAACUAGUCGUUCCAAGGAGGGUGAGGCGGAACCAAAAUUCACCCAAAACUCGUCCCCUGGAACAACACGUUCCACCCGUUUUAGGCUCAUCAAACAUGGAACGGAACGCCUUUCAUCACUGCGUUUCGUCCCGUCCCGUCCUACGUACCAAAGGUAUCGUUUGGUAUGCAGACAAGAUGGGACGGAACGGAGAGGGAGCAAAGAUGCCCUUGGAUGGAAACAAUGAGGAAAAAGAAGGAGACGGAAGGGUUAUGAUUUUAUGUUCCACAGAUGUGGAACGAGUUGUUCCAGGGGGUGAGGCGGAAUGAAAAUUCACCCAAAAUUCGUCCCGUGAAACAGAUCGUUCCACCCGUUUUAGGCACACCAAAUGUGGGACGGAAUACCUCGUCCCAGUACGUUCCGUCCCGUCCCAGACACCAAACGGUACCUUGGGUAUAUAACCUAAAACAUUGUUAUUGACGUAUUUGGUGAAGCCUUUUUUGGAUGCGUUGUUUUGCUGUCGUCUAGUCUGCUGCAUGCACGCAAAAAUAGUCUUUUAAGUGAGUGUCGUCUCAUGGAAGAUUUUUCACAUCACCUAGAAAUUUUGAGAAAGUGGCCUUUCUCCUACCUUAUGUACAUUCUUAUAAAAAAAAAUAAUAAUAAGGAAAUAUGUCAAUUUCACCAAAAAAAAAAAAAGGCCUUACCCUACUUCGCAAAAAUCAUAAUUUUGCUUUCUGAUGGUUAUGGACAAGACCAAGUAUAUAUAUUACUCUCUCAUGGUAAUGAAUAAGAUUAACUGGACCAACUGAAUCUGUUGAUCACAUGCCAAAGCUCAAGCAGAGCCAUCUUUGGCCUUCGUCCUAAUUUUAUAAAAGGACCCUCCUAUGGUAGUUUUUCAUGAUUUUUUUUGUGUGAAGGUAUUCAUGCCAAAUUCAAUAAACAAUCAAAAUUCUAACUUAAUUGAAGUUAGUAUCUCAUUCCAACUAAUUCAAUAAUCUAACAAAAGAUUUUUCUUGCUUCAAUUGCUAUGAAAUUACAAUUUUGUGAAGAAAAAAAAGUACGACUAAGAGAGAGAGAGAGAGAUAGGGGAAGACGCUUUUGUGUGUAGCAGAAAGUAUUACACAAAUUAACUAUUUUUAUUGUUUUAUUACUAGAGAAAAGUGAAAGGUUAUAUAAUAGGGUGGUGCUAACGAUACUGAUUUUUACUUUUUACACAUCAUUUUCAAUUUUCGAUCAUCGGAUCGAAUGGAUUGAAGAAGAUUAAUUGACAAAAAAUAAUAAGAGUGUGGAAAGUAAAAAGAAGCGUGUGACUAAUACUCCCCUAUUAGUGCUCACUUAGUCCAUUGUAAUAUGUACUGACAAGAAAAGAAAGGAGUGCACUUUUGCUAAUCUCAAAUUACACGAAACUCAUUACGUAUGUAGGUAGUAAUUUCCACUAUGAGUUAGACGUGUAAAAGAACAAAAGAGGUGCAAAAAUCAGUUUUAUCAUGUAAUAUGUGAAAGUGAUGAACCUUCCAAAUAAAAAGUUAUGUGAUCAUAUCUGUAAUCUGUAAUCUCUAUAAAUGCGAUUUACCAAUAUUAGCCAACUAUUUUUUUCUGGAUACAGUUACUCAAAACAGGUUCACUGCCUUACCGAUGAAACCAUUUAAGCUCUCAACCAUUACAACCCAAAAUUGUGAUAAGAUAAGAAAUGAAAUCAAAGCAUCGAACCCACCUUAACCACCAAAUUAAGUGAUUACAGUUGGCUCUUUCAUUCAUCUAGCUUCUUCACUCUAUAUAACCACCGUAUCUCAGCUCGAACUAAACAUCUUAACUCAGAAGAAAAACUGUUGUGUGUUCAUAGUAAUAUUAUAUGGCAAACAUUGGUGUACCAAUGAAGGUAGGAGUUUGUGUGUUGCUCCCGUGCAUGGUGAUGGGUGCACCUUUAGACCAGGCCAUAACAUGUAGCGAUGUGACUGAAGCCAUGAUCCCCUGCAUAAGCUACCUUACGGGCAAACCUUGAUAGGAAAAAUCCUAGUCGAAGGAAAAAGAGUACAACAUGCAUGUAUCAUGGAUGCUCCUCCUGAUAUGUAUCACCCAUCAAUUCCACAUUCUUCAAAUUUAACUAAUUGGUAAGUCGACGUUAUCCGAUACCAUGCACUAGCUUAUGAAAAUGUGCACUUUGGUAGAGAUUUGAUGAAUAGGUCUGCCAAAAUUUCAUUGGAACGGAUUUGUCUAACUUUAAUAACUUUAGCAUUUUAAAACUUAUGUGCAUUGAAAAGCUUUGGAGAUAUGUGUUUAGUCUUAUCACCCUUGAUGAAUCCUUCCUUCAUUUGGGCAACACAUGCUGCAUUAUCUUCAUGAAUGACAGUUGGAGUGUCUGUCUUUGAAAGUAAACCACAUGAAUUCCGGCUAUGAUGGAUCAUUGAUCUUAACCAAGAACAUUCACGACUUGCUUCAUGUAAAGCAAUUAUUUUCGAGUGAUUGGAAGAUGUAGCAACUAAUGUUUGCUUUGUUGAGCGCCAUGAAAUUGUUGUAUCGUCUUUAGUGAACACAUACCAGUUUGUGGGCGGGCUUUAUGCGGAUUAGAGAGAAAACCAACAUCUGCAUAUCAAACAAGGAUAUGGUCAUUUGUGGAUUUCUCUGAGUAGAAGAGACCUAUGUCUGUUGUCCCACGAAGGUAUCUUAAAACAUUUUUGACUCCCUUCCAAUGACGAAUUGUUGGAGCAGAGCUAUACCUUGCUAACAAGUUGGUUGAAAAAGUUAUAUAUGUUCUAGUACAUUGUGCUAAAUACAAUAAAGCACCUAUUGCACUUAGAUAUGGUACUUCUGGACCAAGGACCAUUUCAUCAUCUUCUUUUGGACGGGAUAGAUCUCUCUUAAUGUCCAGAGAAUGAACAACCAUUGGCGUACUGAGUGGAUAAGCCUUAUCCAUGCCAAAAUGCUUCAUGAUUUUUUCAAUGUAAGCUGAUUGAUGGACCAAAAUUCCAUUAGCACAUUGCUUGAUCUGCAGGCCGAGACGAUAUUUUAUUUUUCCAAGGUCUUUCAUUUCAAAUUCGCUUUUCAAAUAUUCAGUAGUUCUAUUAAGCUCUUCAGGGGUUCCAGCUAAGUUCAUAUCAUCAACAUAUACUGCCACUAUAGCAAAUCCAAAAUUUGGUUUCUUAAUGAACACACAAGGGCAAAUGACAUUGUUGGUAUAUCCCUCUUUGAUCAAAUACACACAAAGAUGAUUGUACACAUCGAAAUUUCGAAUGUCCUCACUUCAAGGCGCGUCGUAUACAUGUGUUUGUCACGUGUAGAAGAUGCGUUUUAAAGUCCCUUAAUGUAGACUUCCCUCAACCUCAGUCAAUUACCACCAUCAAUAGACUUCCCUCAGCCUCAAGAACAAAGCCUAUGUAUUGGUUGAGGCGUCGAAGUUCGUUUUGAGGUCAAAUUAAGAACACCAAUUUCAAUGGUUUCCGACGGAUCGAUGGUGUUUUUAGGUGUUUUCCGGCUGAAUUAGCCUUCAGCCUAGGUAUAAAAGUUCUUCCCCUUGUUGUGAUCUACAUUUCUGUAAAAUUUGGUAAUUUUUGGAGUUAGGCAAAAAAUUUCUGCGAGUUUGGGCGGUCGGCCGUUGCGUGCGUGGGCCGAGACCCAACCUGCCCUUCCUAGACUAAUUUGGAUACCCUGAUUGCAUAUGUGAUGUCCGAUUGACAAAAUCUCAUCAUAUGACUAUAGUUUUGAUGGAGACCGCCACUUGGCCACUACAUAAAUCGAUGAUCCAAUAGUUGGAUCAUCACCAAACUUUAAUAUGUAAUAGUGCGUAAUAUUUGAGGACAAUAGGAAAUUACCAAUCGGGAAACUGACUUACGGAUCUUCCCGAAUUGGAUUUCUAAGUUUGUAAAAUCAAACAUUUACCGCCACUUAAUCUUAGCAAUUGGUGGAGAUCCAACCGAUGGAUCGUAAUGAAAUUUUAGUAUGUUGUUCUAGAAAAGUAGUGAGACUCUUGGAAAGUUACGGGUCAAAAAUCUGAUUGGCGGAUCUUUCGGUUUAGAUUUAUAAGGUUGCGGACCCUACUCUUGACCUUGAUCGACGGUUGGCUUUUUAGUCAACUAGCCCGAGUUCUUCUAGCGUGUUGGUUAUCUUAGAGUGUGGUUGAGAUUUCACAGAGCUUGAUGGGCUCAUCGUGAUGAUGUGUCUUCCUCGACUGACGUGCACCUCGAUUUAUGUAAUGAUGGCAUCACAUUGUGUUAUGCUUGUUUAUUUAUGUGAUUUGACUUGUGUAUUGAACUUGUUGUGAAGUGUGGCUGAUUUGUGUGUUUGGCCUAAUGUGAUGAAAUGUGAGGGCUAGGAGUGGACCAUAAACCCAUUGUCAUGGGGUUUGUUGCUUCGAGACUUGUUUCACAUAUCGUAUCAUUAUUUCAUUUCUCAUUUCAUUGAGCCGUUCUAAUUGUGUACCUUGUGCUUUGUUCAAUUUCUAGUUUCGUUGAGUUUUUGUAUUUUGAGUACUUGUUUCAUGUCUUGUUCUUCGAGCGUUGCUAUAUUCCUUGAACUUUGGCUCAGUUCUGUUGAGUGAUUCGAAACUGGGUUUCCAUUGGGGUUCCGUUGAGUGGUCUGGUUCCCUGCUCCGUCUGGAUUUCAAUAAGUGGUCCGGAAUCCCUCGUGAUUCGCGAUUCCGUUAAGUGGUCCGGAAUUGUAUCCAGCUUAGAUUUAAGUGAGUUGUUCAAUAUGCAUUGUACUCCGCAAUUUCGUUGAGUAGUCCGGAAUCGUAUCCACUUAGAUUCCAUUGAGAAGUCUGAAAUCCCUUCUAUUCCGCGAUUCCGUUGAGUGAUCUGGAAUCGUAUCCUGGUUUGGAUUCCGUUGAGUGGUCUAGAAUCCCCUUUGGUGUUUUGGUUCCAUUAAGUGGUUCGCAACCCAAUGUUGAUGGAUUUUGUUGAGUGGUCCGAAAUCGCAUCAUUUGAAUUGUUGGUUCCUUGGAUUUGAUUUCAGCUUCAGAGAUGUAGGCUUCGGUCGAACUGUGUCUCUCUAGCCCUGCAUUUCGGUGUAUGGUAUGUGUGAUUGAUUGAUAUGAUUGUGGAAUAAUGUUGGUUGUGAUUGUUGUCAUUAUGAUUAGACUCAUUGACCAAUAUGGCUAGAGAUUUACGUUGCGCUUCAUCGAAUGUUCCUCGUGAUGUUGCAUGCCUGUUGUGUGGUAUUAUGUUGAGACAUAAUGAUUUAUGUGAUGAUUGUUCGAGUGUAGUGAAGGGUGAACUAUGAAUGGCUUGAUCCCUAUUGAGGGUACGUAGGCAGUCUAACGGGGAGAUUAGACGCAACCAUAAAGUACACGAAAACUACUAUGCAAUUCGAAUCUUGAGUUGUGCAUUGUUCAUAUCCUGAAGGCAGGGUAUGUUAGAUAUACGGGUAUUUGGUGAUGUCACGUGUCGAUCCUAGACGUAUGUCGGGAUUGAGGUGUGACAAUUAUUAUCAAGUCUUCAUCAAUAUUAGCUAAAGCAUGUGGGCAUAUAUUUCCACAAUUUUUACAACAUAUGGAGAUAUGUUUACGGUGCCGUAAAAUUUGUUUUUUCUUCAGCCAACUGGGAAGACAUUAUACAAGGUUAAUAUUUUGUAAUUACCUAGUUUUAUCAUUAAAGACAUAUAUAUAGUGAAGAUCUACCAUGAUUGUUUUUUCAUUGUUUCAAUCAAGGGUGACAUUUUUGUGAAGUACACAAUAACUGGUCAUGAAAUUAAAUAUAUACUAAAAGAGAAACAUAACUAAUUUACUGUUCAUAAGCACAGUAUGCUUCCUAUUUUGUCCUAACUAAAUUUGCUUUAUUACGUUUCUGCCACUGUCUGAGAAGUUCUUUGAUAGUGUUAUUCCUUUUUUGCCCCUUUAUUGUUUCUUUGGUCACUGUUUAACUACAGUGUACUCCCGCUUUUAUCCCUGCUUUAGUCUUUGGCCUUUUAGGCUGUGUUUGUUUGACCUUCUUAGGGGUCAUUGGACUAGACUAGAUUAAUUGUUUGUCCAGUCUUAUGUUUGUUGUCCACACUGGACUAGUUUUAAUGGGACUAACAGGGACUCAGCCCGACUGAAUGCUUCACUAAACGUUCUUAGCGAGACCCCUCAAUUUCAAGUGAACUGCUAGUCUCGUUCUCUCCCCCGUUGUUGAUCCCUCGACGUUUCCCUUCUCCUUCACUGCUUCGCCCUCUCCCUUAUCCUUCGCACCUUCGCCAUUCCCUUCUCCUUCGCACCUUCGUCCACUCCCUUGGGCCUUUACUAUCCCACCCAAAAGCCUAAACCCAGACCUUAAACAAAAACUGAAAAAAAUCCAUUGAUUCCCUUCCUUUCUUCUUCGUUCAAGUCACACUCUCCUUCUCUCUCAGCAAAAUUACCAUGGUUGCAACCACCAGACCACCACUAGACAACCAUCACCAGAAGCUCGUCGUUGAUCUCCGCGUUCACGCGUGACCCAGAUGCAAGUCGGGACCGAAAGCGUACCAAAUGCUCAAGCAUCUACGAAUCCCCACACAAAUUCAAAAAAAAAAGGCAAAAUCACUACAUAACCCUGGGAUUUUCCAAGAAAUUCAGAGGAGGUGCUGGGUGGAGAUCUCCGAUGAAUCCUCCGUGUGAAUCUUCUGCAUAAGGAAAAGAGGGAAAGGUUAAGGAUAAGCGGACGGAGGAAAAAAAGGGAGAGGGGGGAGACAGUAGCCGAAAGAAAAUAGGGAGAAGUAUGGAAAGAGAGGAAGAAUAUUUUGGAAAAAUGGUGAAACAAAAUAAAAAGAGGGAGAUGAGAGGGAGAAUGGCGGAGGAAAAGAUGAAUGGGCUAUAGAGAGAUAAUUUUAGGAAAAAAUAAAAAAAGAUAUUGACCUUUACGGAAGGAUAUAUGAUUCUAGAAACAAAUAAAAUGAUAAAUUAAUAAUAAAAUAUUAAUAAAUAUAGAUAAAAUAAUAUAAUAUUUGAGUUAGAUAAUUAUCCAGCUUCUUAGUCCGACAUUGCACCAAACGCUUCACUCUAGUCCACCUUAAUCUAGUCUAAGCCAGUCUAGCUUAGUCUUGAAGUUAGGACAAUCCGAGAUAGUCCGGUGCAACAACGCACCCUUAUUUCAUUUCUGAAUUCUUCCUUCCCACACUGUUUUAGUAUCUCGACCCAUCUGUUCUCUAGAUGCUUCCCCACCGUUUCAGACUCUCGACCCACCUUUCCUCUGCCCGGCUCCUGCUUUCCCCGUCUCCCUCCUCACCUCAUCUCCCAAUUUCCCAACUUAUUUUCGAUUUACACUUAAAUCUCAUAUGAAUCUCCUUGGUCUCACCUAUCCUCUGAACCCAAAAAAGAUUUAGCCUUCCGACGACUCUGGCUGCCAUAAUCAAUCUUGGUUGUUGGCCGACAACCGGACUGCAACAUCGUCUUGUCUCACUCCAGCAUUAGCAUAUUCCAGCUUCAAACCCUCUCUGACCCUUUUUGCCAAAAUCGUUCUCACCGAUUUGUCAUCAGGUAAGAUCCUGGAGUUUUUAUUUGGCAUCCCAAACCUCAUCUCUCUUGCCACUAUUCCUCAAAACUUUCAUAUCGGUACAUCAACUCAACUUUCAUUUAUUUCAACAGCUCAACUCUCUUUCUAUUUGAAACCUAAAGAUUGAUUAUUUUCCUUUUUUUCUCUGUUUUUAUUUUCCAGGGAAAAACACCAUCUUUGCCGAAAAAGUUUGAAUUUUUCUCGGGAAUUCUCACCCAUCCCUAAGAUUUUCUUUGUGGGUUUUGGUUCUCAGGUUGCGAAUUUUUCUUGGUGGCGAUGAUCGGUGUUCGUUGUUGUGUGGAUGAUCCCAGUGGAGCUUUGGUUUUCAGCUUUGGUGAUUUCUGCGUGGAUUUUUUGGGAUAUGGUUUGGGCUUCUGGGUAAGCAACUGUCACUCUAUUCAACUUAAAUUUAGUUCACUUUUUUUUUUCCUCAAUAAUUUGUUUGAUGGCAUGAUUGUUUGAUCCUUUACUAAAUAGUCAUCAAGAAAUGUAGGAAUUUUUAGUAGUUUUGAUUUCUUUUCAAUUUUUAUUUUAUUUUAUUUUCAAGCCCUGAGUUUUGUAAGAACCGUCUACCCUGUGCAUACACUAGAUACUCCUAACAUUUCAAAUAAACUACCAGUGAGUUCUAUAACUUUACUAAUAUUUAUUUACAAUGCAAGUUAAAUUGUUGGUUUUCUGUUUGUCAAUGUGUUAGCUUUUCUACUCUCUACCUUGCAUUAGAGGUUGCCAUGUCAGGUGAGUUCAAGUUCUACUUGGUACACAAGGGUUGUUUUUAGCUAAGUCUCAAAUUUGUGUGCUCUUCAUCAUGGCUUUUAUUUUGGUGGCAGUUAGGUGUCAUUAAUAUGAAGUGUAAGCUGGUUGAUCCAGAUGGUCUACUAAAUAAGCUAAGGGUAUUGAAAUCAGUUAAUGUAGAUGGCGUUUAUGAUUGAUUGCUGGUGGGGAAUAGUAGAGGGACAUGAUCCACAGAAGUAUAAUUGGAAUGGAUACAAUAGGCUCUUUCAGAUGGUGUGUGAGCUUAGAAUAAAGUGACAUGUCUGUUUUAUAUAAAUUCGUUUUUUCAAUUGUAGAAGUUUUUUCCUCUCAAUGGGCAUAUAAACAACAUGUGUGGUUAAUUGUUUUGCCAUCUUUGUGGUCAUUUUUAUUCUUUCUAUGCAUAUUUUUGGUAGCAAUUUAACAAUUGAUUGUAGAAACUUUUGUCUUUGUAUGUUGAUGCUUCUUAAUAGUGGUGGUGCCAUGCAUGUUCUUGGUUAAAUUAAUUGAGUAUGUCCGUAAUUUGGAAUAGUUCUUUUCUAAAUUGGCAGGAAUUUUUUCAGUUGAGGAGAUUGUUGGAUACUGCUGCUAAGUGGAUCAAUGGAAGCGAUAGCCAGUGAUUGAGGGUAUCUUUUGGAGGACUUUGUUGUGGAUGGGAUUCAAACAGAACCUUUCAACUUGAACGAGAGGAGAGGGAAAAAGGUUAUUUUGAUGCAGAUGGAAAGUUUAUUAAUAUGCCAUUAAAAAUGAAGUCAAGGUAAACAUGUUUAUCAUUUUUGGCAACAACAUGUUUAUCAUUCUUGGGUAGUUAAUGUUAGAGUGUUUAUCAUACAAUUAGGUUCUUGGAGUUUACUGAUGAUUUGCUAUGCGUGUAGGUCAUAAAAUAUUUUUUAUACUGAAGCUUUCAUCUCUCUGAUUAAAUUUAGUUGAAUUAAGUAAUUCAGUCAAUUACUUAAUUCAGUAAAAGAGACAACCAAAAAACGUGGAGGUGGAGUCAAAUGCAAAAUCAUAGAAUCAGAAAUUAAGGUAGUCGUUAUACAUUUCGUUUGAUUUGUUUGAAUAGGCUGAUUUAUAACUGUUUCAGUAUUAUGUUUCUUCGCAUGCAGAUUACCAUAUGUAUUUGAGAGCACAGCUGAUGUAAGUUCUCUCUUUAUGCCUCUAUCUCUCUGUGCAUUGAUAUGUUUUCUGUCAAUUUUAUUCUUCUGUAUGCAUUAUGUUUAUCCUGAACCAAAGGUUCCUUAUCUUUUAUUUAUGAUGAGUGUGUGCUGCUUGGUCUCCAAUGAUUAUUUGUAUUUCCGAAGGUAUAAUGGGAGGAAAAAUCCAUUCAACCUCGACCAAAUUGUAGGGAAUCCAAUUAAGAUGCUUACGUGAUUUUUUUUCAGCAUGAUACAUGAUUAAGGUUUUUUUUUUUGGUCAAUAAUACAUGUUUAAGGUUGAGCUUUGAAAAUUGCAGAUUUAUAAACUAUGAGUAGAGUUUCCGGGCAAUAUAGUCAUUUCUUAAUGGGCAAUGAAUAAUUAAGGUUUGAAAUCGAAAAGUAGAUUGCAAAUGUUGUUCAUUAUGAAAAACCUACAGGAACAUUAGUUCUUAGCAUUAAUCACAAAGUGCAGUUGUACUCGAGACUGAGAGAGUGGCGUUUAAUUGUUCUCCUAUGGGAUGUGGUUGAUCUUACCCUUUAUAUGUUUAAAUUUAUAUAUACUUAGUUGAGUUAUGUUUUCAUUUUUGGAUUCAGGCCUAGACACUAUUGAUCCCUCAAAAUUUUAGCCAUAAAGCAAAAGGUGGUGACUCACGUAGACAGCUGACUCAUUUUCAAUAGAAAGGAAUAGCCAAACUAACCCAGCUGGGAAAUAACGUUCACCAAUCACUGUCUUAGCACAUUUACUUAAGUGAAUACAUUGUUGUUUAUUAUGGCCGUCUUUCCAAGAUCAAGCCCCUUGCUCAGUUGUAUAAAGUUUGCAUCCUCAGUUGUGCCGUAUCGCAAGUUUGGAUUUUUGGGUGCCCCUUUCAUGUAGCAAAACGAAAAAUUUGAUGCAAAUCAGUUUGUCUCAAAUUGCAGCUUCCUCGGUUUCUCAAAUCUCAACGAUCAAUCUGCAGUAUCCCUCAAGCAGUUUCUCCCAAACUCUUACGAUUUGCAUUUUUGCUUAUCUCCCUACACUCUUAUCAGCAUUAUCACUGCUCUCUCAUAUGCUUUUCUUUGUUUUGCUCUAAUUUUUAAAUUUAUUUUUUUGUUAUUUAGUGUGAGAAAAUGGCUUCAAAAUUGGAAUUUCCAUUAUCUGGGCAAAGGAAAACAGAAAGAGAACACCAAUAGUGGUGACGAUGGAGAAUCCCUUCUUUGCUGUGGAAAUCGAAGGUCUAUGUGCAACAUUUAGCCCAGUUUAUAAGAGCAGGGGUCAAAAUGAAGAACCAAUGACAUGGGGAUUUGUUUAAUUUUAUCAAGUUUUGUACUGAGGUAAAACUCCCCCCAUUUAACAUAGUUUUAAAUGAUGAUUAGUAUGUGUGUAAAUAGGAUUGUGAGUAUGGUUGUAUUUAUGUAGUAGUAGAAUUAGAAACAUUGUUGUAAUUAUGUGUAACUAGAGUUGUAAACUAUGUUAAUUUAGGUUUUUGUGUGUAUUAUACAGUAAAAUGGCAUUUUUAUCCCUGCUGUGCAAUAGAAAUCUCUUGAUUUCUUCAGAACCUGCACUCAGCUUCGCCAUCUCUCUUCGAUCUCUGCUUCAUGCUCUUCAAUCUUUGCUUCAUCAUCUCUUCCUCCGUGAUUUCUUCACCAGCAACUUUGCUCUAAAUCUUUCCAAUUGAAAAAACCUAGAUCAUCAUCAUCUAUUCCUCUUCACCACAGGUACCUUCUGCACCUAUUACAUGUCAAAAUCUGCUUCGUGUUCUCUUCGUGUGUUGAUCUUUUGUCUGAUUUUGUUUUUGGUUGCAAGAAACGUUUAUCUUCUAGUUUUAGGGUUUUGUUAUGUGAGUUUGCAAACCCUUUCUGGGCAGGUAUAUAAGUUAUCUUUGCACUAUGCAAAUUUUUUUUUUUGGGCAAAUUUUUUGAUUUGGGUCUUUUGAUGGUUUGUGCUUUGAUUUUUCCCUGAAUGUUUAAAAAGUCAGAGAUGGCAAUGGUUAGUUUUUGGGUUUAGGGGACUGAGAAAUUGUGUGUUGUUCGUGUGCAUUCUUCAUUGUUUGCACUUUCAAUUUAAGAGGAUGCAAUAUAUUUUCAUCGGUACCAUAUCUUUUCAGAUAAUCAAGGGAGGAUGUUCAUGAUGUGUUAUUAGGGUAGUUCAAGUGCAACAAUUUUGUGACAGAUAUUAGUUUGAAACAUUGAUAGUUUUUAGUUCUUUGACUGCCUUCACAUCUCUUCCAUUUUAAAUGAUUGAGAGCUUAAUCUAUUCGUGUUUAUACAGAAAUAAAAAAAUGGUUAUAAUUGGAAUAUUACGCUUAAUCUUCUUUUGGUAUUUGUUUUGAUUUUCUUUUGUUGGCUGUGUUUUGUAGCUCAUCAGAAACAGUAAGCAAGUGAAAGCUAUAACCAAAGGUUUAUUUAGUUCUCCCAUAUGGUUUUCAUCUAUUGUAGGUAAACGAGAGCUACUGUGCUCUUUAUGCAAUAAAGUUCACCAUCAGCUCUAGAUACGAGCAUCAUGGCAAAGUUGAAGUAUGCAUAAAUGGCAAUAGUUUUGGCCUCAACUGGAAGUUGUAGCGAGUGUAACUAUAUUGGGACAUGUAAUGAGAAGAAAUGUUUAAGUAGCUGUGGGGAGGUAAUAAACAUGUUUACUUCUGGCCUAUGCUUACUCUAAGAUAAUUGCCAAAUUGGUUAAUUACACACGAGGCUAAAAACUUAUGGCCAACUAACCUUAUCUUAAUGCUUUAAUAGGCUACUUUGUUUCCAAUCUUGCUUAAAAUUGAAGAAUGACUAUUCUUGCAGAGUUGUAUUGAACAGAACAACUAUCCUCGGGGUAGCUGUAACACCUGAUGAGAAUUUUGAAGGUGAUCCAAUCGGAGGCCAGUUGUAGCUAAUGAUUCUCAAUUUCUCGAGUACAGCAGUAAAGGUCUUCUAUCUUCAUUUCUCAUUGACAUUUUUUUUCCUUGACAACAUAGUUCACAAGGCUUUUAGCCUGUUAUUAUUAUUGGAAUUAGAUUACAAUACUUGCAAUAAUUUUGGCAAGGAAUCAGUUGACAGUGUGGGGUUCAUGGAGUUUGGAUUCAGCAUUCUCUGAAAUUAGCCAAGGAAUGGAAAUUUUAUUGGUUUGAUUAGUAAUUUGGUAUGUUCUUUUUAUUUUU